UUAACUUAUGUAAAGAUAUAAAUACAGUUAAAUUUUAUUCAACGAGUAACAUAAUUAAUCAGAUCAAUUGCGAUCUCUAGUUUUUAUCAACCACGAAUUCAUGGUGCAUUCCAUUGCCAAAUAAUUAUUCCCACUAUUUGGCAAGUAUUUUUAGUGUACCCGUCGUGUAUCCAUCAAGUAUCUGAUAAUUUUUUGAAUUUUAAAAAAUAUUGAAUGCUCCUACGAAGUAGUUGAGAUGCAUCGGACAUGCAUCACCCGAGUAUCGGUAUCUAUUUCAAAUUCGAUUGGAUACGACAAGUAAAAUGAAAUACCUGUGCAUCAUAACAUGGAAUUAACUAUAUCUUUAGGGCAUGAUUAGAUUGAUAUAACUAAAUAAAAAAAAAUGUGGAGGUUAAAUGUAACUCACACAUUUUUCAUUUAAUUUGACAUAAUUGCGAAAAAGAAUUUUAAAAGUUACAAACUUUUCUCACACCUACGUACACCCUGUUAAAUAUAUUCCUUGAUUCGUAUUUUGUUGGAUUGAUCGAUUUUUCGGAUAAAUAUGAUAUCAUAAUUAAUUCUAAAUCUUUUCAUUAUAUGUGCUUAAUCUCACUUUCAGUGUAGCAAACAUAUAUUACAGCAAAAAAUUCUAAAGAAAUUGAUUUUAAAUGGUAUGGACUUAUUAUUGCAUUACUAAUUACCAAAAUCAUAUUAAUAAAAAAAAAACUUAUCCAUCUAAAAUAAUUUGUUGAAAAUUUAUAUAAAUAUUCAGAGUCAGUAGAAUUCAGAAACGAAAAUUACUUUUUUUAUAUAUAAAAGUGCUAGGAAAUUACAUAUGGUAUAUCUAAAUUAACGAUCAAAUUACCAAUAAAACAAAUAAUAAAACUGGUAUAACGUAUUACAUAAACGAUGAAAAAGUGUGAUAGGAAAACAUUCUAUUUGCUUCAGUAAAAAAACAUAAUGUUGCGUCGAUAAUAACGAUUCGAUUAUUAUAUAAUUUCUGUAGUCUUAUAAAAAAAUAGAGAAACAUAUCAUAACUUGGCCUUUCAAAUCAAGAUGGGAUAUGGGUGGGGCAUGAACUCUCAAAUCGGGCUCGACACGACACGAUCCGACCCGACCCGACCGAGCUCAAAUAAUUGAGGCCCAAGCCCAUUUUCUUCGGGCCGACCAACAUUCAUAUUUAUUAUAUAUAUAUAUAUAUUAUAUUAUAUUAAAACAUUAUAGGGGAGGUAAAUUAAUCAUGUAUUAUAAUAAAAUUUAAUAAAAAAAAAUUUAGGGCAACUUCAACUUGCUCCCUUAUGAUUCUGGCUUAUUUUGCACUUUAUCAUCCUAUGAUUUAAAAAACCGCACUUAGAUAAUCUAUAGUGUUAUUUCCAUUAGACAAUAAAAAGAAUCCACUAAUGAAAAGUUAGACAUAUGAAUAUGGGUGAUAAUAUUAAUAGAAUAAAAAUUGUUAUUGAUGGGAAAGAAUUAAAAUAAAAUAAAUAAGGGCCUCCUUUGGAUGCACAAUUAUAAAAUUUUAUAAAGGUCUAGGUGAAAUAAAAAAAUCAUGUAACUCUAAAAAAAAUUUACAACUUUAAUUUUUAACCUAUUUGGAUACACAUUAUACAAUUUCACUGAAUUUCUACCAAUUAAAAUUUUAAAAUUUAAAUUUUAAAAUUAAAAUUUGAAAUUAAAAAAUAGAAAUAUAGAAUUUAAAAUUUGAUAUUAGAAUUUUGAAAUUAGAAAUUAGAAACUAAAAAUUUGGAAUUUAAUAUUUGAAAUUAGAAAUUAGAAAUUUGAGAUUUAAUUUUUAAAUUUUAAAUUUAAAAAUUUUCUAAUUUCUAUUUCAAAUUUGAAAUUUGAAAAUUAAAAUUUAAAAUUUAAAUUGAAAUAGAAAAUCUAAAUUUAAAUUUUAUAAAUGAAAUCUUAUGCUAGAAAAUUUUAAAUAUAAAACCAAGCUAAACCCUAUGCUAAUAGAAAAUAAAUCAGCUAAGUUCACUUUAAGUCGUUAGAUUUUAAUUUGACAGAAUCAAAAAAUCAGCCGAUUUGACAAAAAUUGGACGAUUCACCAGUUUGACGGUUGAACCGCCGAAUCGAAAGGUUCAAAGCGGUUUUUUUACUUGUCCAAGAUAAAGAGUUAAAUCAAACUGCUUUAUAUACUGGAUCAUGAUUGGACUGAUUGAACCGGCCUGUUCGGCUCAGUUCUUAAAUCAUUAGUUACAAACUAUAUAAAACCAAGCCCGACCCGAACCAGUAACUUUUUAUUUUAUUUUAGGGUAAAAUUUAAAUACCACCCUUAUGGUUUCGUAUUUUCUCACUUUAAUACUCUGUGAUUUAAAAUGUAUCAAGUUAGUAUCCUGUGGUUUCAUUUUUAUCUUUUCGUUAUCUUUUUCAUUAAUAUUUUGUUAAAUUAUAUACAAAAAAACUUCAGAUACUCCAUCUAAAUUUAUCGAAUAUUCACUUUAGCACAAUUUAGUUUUAACUUUGUCACUAAUUUAACGAAAAAUUUAGUAAAAUCGAUAAUAAAAAGAUAAAAAUGAAACCAUAUGGCACUAAAUUGAUACACUUUAAACUACAUAAUGCUAAAGUGAGAACAUGUGAAACCACAGGGCUGGUAUUUGAAGUUUUUUCUUUAUAUUCUUAUUUGUUUUAAGUAGGAAAGCUAGGAGGCUGCUAAGUAAUCAUUUUGUAAAUAAGUAGUCAAUAUAACGAAACCAAUCAUGUUGAGCUGAUGAGUCCAAGUCAAAACCAAUCUUUUUUUUUUCCCCUUUUUUUCAUAUUUUGUGGGGGUCUCAAAGCCACUAAAUUUAUGUUGUGGGGGAGUUAUGAAGGGGAUGGACCACAACUCCUGUUCAAAAUCACAAGCACCUCCAAUCCAUUUGCAACCCUAAUUUAUUAAAAAAGAAAAAUAAAAAAGACUCUCUUUCUGGGGAUUUGUCAGUAGAUUUUGUAUAUAAUUUGAACUAGAAAACACUUGUAAUUAAGGCCCAGUUUUAGUAACGCAGAAGUUAAAAUCAUGACUUAUUUUUAAAGCCUAGUUCGGUACUUAAUUCGAGUAGAGCCAGCAAUUCAGCUCGCUGUUCGCGACCCAGCUCGUGUUCGGUUCGAAAUGAGCUCGAGAUUGAUUGCUCGUUUAAUAAGCAAGCCGAAUAUAAGCCCGAAUCAGCUUGCUCGUGCUCGAUCGGCUCGUUAUGGAUCGAAUAAUUAAAAAUAUAUAUAUGUAUCUGCUUCAAAUUUUUACUAUUCAGAUUAUAUGCUAACUCAAAUAUAAAGAAACAUUUAUUUUGUAUUUAAAUUUUUUAAUUUGUUUUAAUUGUUUUACCGAGUAGUAGAGCUGACAGCCUACCUUAUUAAUCGCAAGUCAACUCGUUGAUGAAUUUUUCAUGCUUGAUAUUUUAAAGAGACAGUUCGUGUUCGACUUGUUUGAUAAAUGAGCGAAAUAUGAACCGACCCGACUCGUUCGUGCUCGGCUCGUUGAUGGGCCCCUGAUUAAUUAACUCCGAGACGUUGGGUAAAAAGAGCACUUUACUGAUUUGUAUUCAAACUUAGGUCCAUGCGCAGUGUGAGCUGUCUUUCAUUCCAUUCAAAAACGAGAAAAACGCCGGCGGGCAGGCAGCGCUGCCCGAGCCGUCUGCUUCACUCCUGUCAGUCCGCAUCAGGCGGGCGGGCGGGCGUGCUGACUGCUGCGGAAUAUCAGCGCGCGCGCCGACUAUUAUUAUAUUUUGACCCCUAUUUUGUCCUUUUCUCUCCUACAUGUUGACCCGGAAAAAAGCAUAUGCCCAUAAUAAUAAUAAUAAUAAUAAUAAUAAUAAAUGGGUUAAUUGCAUACAGGUUCCUUCAAAUAUAAUGAAUUACAAAUAUAUCUCUGUAAAAUUCAACUUUUAUAAGUUAUUUCUGUAAAUAUCCUAAUGUUUUUAGAUAUAUCCCUCUAGUUUAUUACAGUUAGAGAACUAAAACUGUUUACAUUUUUAAUUUUACCAUCACAAAUAUGCAUGCUCCUCCAAAAGUUAUAAUAGUAUAAUAUAAGAGGGGUUAAAAUGUUAAAAAUUAAGUAGAGUAAAGUAUUUAACUUAUGAUCAACUAAGCUUUUCUAAAGGAUUCUAACGAUAACGGCAGGAAUAUCUGAAAAUAUUAGGACUUUUGUAGGAAUAAUUUAUAAAUGUUGAACUUUAUAGAGAUAUAUUUGAAAUUUGCUUAGGUAGUAGAUCUGACAAACAGGUUGGUUGGGCAAUCUGCAAAUGAAUCAUCCAAAUUAUUUACAUAUGGAUAAAAUUUAUUUGUAAAUUUUUGAAUAACUAAAAUUAUUAUCCAUACUCGCAUAUUUUAAAAGAUCUUAAGAUAAUCUACUGUUAAAGAUAUCACAAUAUACAGUAAAUAAUAUAGAGUUUUAAAACAACAGUUAGAAAACUUAAGGUUAGGAUCUUAGAAAUAAAUAAAAUAAAACAAAUAUUCACUUAAGUUGCGGGUACCCGUGGGUUGCCCGAUAUACCUAUAAUUUAAUGGAUACUCAUCCAUUUUACCCAUAAAUUUUUAGGUAAAAUAAAUUAGUAUCCAUACCUGCAAAUCUGUAGAUAACCGGCCGGUGUAGGUUUAGAUUGCCAAUUCUACUAGUUGGAUAUAUCUCAUUGGGCACAAAAGUUAUCUGAAUUGUGAACAAUUUUAAAUUGACUACCUAUUUUUUAAAAGUUUUAAUUUUAUUAUCUAAUCUUUUAAUUUGUUUGGUUUGAAUCAAUUAAGAUACUUUGACUUUCAAAUUUAAGCUAAUUACUUUGUUGCAUGAAUUUAUAGUCGCAAGAACUGUAUGAAAUAUACUAACUAAACUUGUGGCUUAAUUACUUGCUUUAAUGAAUUUAUAUUUGUAAGAACUAAAUGAAGUAUACUAGUUGAACUUGUAAAAAUAAAAGAUGUAAUCAAAAUUUGAAAGCAAAGUGUUAUUAACUAAUUCAAAUAAAAUAAAUUGAAAGGUUAGAUAAUAAAAUGAUUCAUAAUUCAUGUACGCUUUACACAUUUAUAACAAGAAAAAAACGAGAAAAAACAAAAACAAAAACUCUAUGGCCUAGUUAGGUAUAUAUGUAUCAUUCUCAAUUGUUUUAUUUUUCUCAAUAAAAAAUUUAUAUAAAAUUGUUUAAAUAAGUCUUCAUUCGUUGCAGGGACGAAGUUAGGAUUCAAUCUUGAUGGGGGCCAAAAUAUAUUUAAAUAGAAACUUUAGUAAUAAAUAAUAAACAAAAUUUUUUCUAAUUAAAAAUUUUUUAUUAAAAAAUUAUCAAUUAAAUAAAUAAUGUAAAAGUAUGAAUUUUAUGUUUUUUAUUUUCAUAUGUUUAACUUCUAACUAUUUUUUUUAUAUUAUUACAUUAAAAUAACUUAGAAAUUUUACUAAAUCUAACAGUAAUUUCUUAGUUUUUUAGUAAAUAAAAUUAACAUAGCUAUUAAAUUUAGUGCAAUUAUUGAUUUAGUCAAAUAAAAGAGCUCACCUAAGAUAAAUAAAAAUUUUAAAAAAUUAUUAAAUAAAAUUUUUAGAAAUAUAUUACAAAAUACUCUAUAAACAAGAAGCUUUUAAUAUAUUUUCAUCCAUAAAAAAAAUAUACCAAUUAGGAGAAAAAGAGAGGGAGUUAUAUUGGUACCAUAAUAUUAAGUAAAUAUUAAAAAGUUAGGGAGGCCAAAACUAUCCAUGUUUCAAAAAAAAAAAACUUUGAAGGACCAUUAAACAAAUAUUGAAAAGUUGAGGGAGGCCAUGACCACCUUGGGUCUCCAUAUAGCUCCGUCACUGAUUCGUUGUUUAACAUGUCAAAAAAAAAAAACUUUUGAUAUAUCAAAAAUAUAUAUACAGCAUAUAAAAAUUAAUAUAAGAAAAAUGACAACGAUAUCAAUUGGUUGGUUUAGUUAGUUGUUUGCAAAAGUUUUUUUCUUUUUUUCCAAAACAAUAAAAACUUCACAAUAGAAUAGUAAUAACUAUUUAUAACAAAGAUCAAUAGAUUAAUUUAUUUGGAUUAAUUGAAUUGCUCUAUACCAAUUUUAAUUCAGCAUGAGACCCAAAUUAAGCUCAAGUAGCUAGUUAGCAAAUGAAUUUACAAGUAUAUAAACAUAAAAGGGGAAAAAAAAGAAGAAGAAAAAUUAAGCAAAUUAAGCCUAUAAUUAAUAAUUAACAAAACUCAUUCUAUAUCACUACCACAUUUCAAAAUAUAUAUAUACAUAUAUAUAUCCUUCAUAUUUUGCUAACUUUAUACAAGUUUAAUUCAGAUUAAAACUAACUCUAGUUUACAAACACGACACUAGUUCUCAUCGCACAUUAAGGGCGUGUUUGGUAAAAAAAAAAAAAAAAAGGGGGAACUACAACCCAUCGAACUCGGUGAUUUCCAUCCAUACGGCAGAGCUCGACUUCACGCUCAUUGUCGAGAGGGCAAAGUCAUGAGUUCAUGCUGCACACGGCGAACUCAGCGAUUUCAAUCCAUACGGCGGCCGGAGCUCGACUUCAUGCUCGGUCGAUGUCGAGGGCAAAGUCGUGAGUUCGCAUCAUAAGCAAACUCGCCAUCCCCCGUGGGACAGAUUCACAAGCUCGUUGCCAAGGGCAAAGUCGUGAGUUCGCCCCGUACCCAAACCUGCCAACACCCCCUGUAGUUAUGAAAAGUAGGUCACUUCGACCCCGACUUCGAUCAAAACAAACACACCCGGUAUAUCCGCAAAGCGCAAAGCUAUUGUGUAGUCACCCUCUUCCACCAAUUCUUGCUCCUCUCCGUCUCACACUUCUCCCCUAUCGUCGCCAACUUCGGCGUCCACCGCCGCUCCCGCCUCGCCUUCACCAUCUCCCUGUACUCCUUCUCCAGCGCCUCGUCCGUGCACACUCUACUACUACCACCACAGCUGCUCGUCAUCUCCUUCUCAUUCUCCUCCGCUGUCGAUUUCAUCGUANACUCCUUCUCCAGCGCCUCGUCCGUGCACACUCUACUACUACCACCACAGCUGCUCGUCAUCUCCUUCUCAUUCUCCUCCGCUGUCGAUUUCAUCGUAUUCUUAUCGGAAUUCAUAAGCAGCUGAUCGCACACGAUGAUCUGCAGGGCGCCCGUGGGCGACCUGCGGAUCCGGAAGGGCCUGACUUUGCCGCCGCCGUUGCCAUUGCCGUUGCCGUUGCCGCCGGCGAGGAGGAGGGAGGAGGCGAGGGAGACGAAGGAGAGGACGGAGUGGAAGAAGUGGGAGGGCAGGAGGAAGUAGGAGUGGCCCGGGAGGAGGCGGUCUGCGGCGGAGAGCGCCGGGACCUUCUGCCCGAUCGUGAAGGCGGCGUCGGCCCGGCAGACGAGGUGGCAGGGGUUGUCCGUCAUCACCUCCGCCGCCGACACCGGGCACUCGUACACCCGCACCGCGCCGUCCGCCCCCACCACCAGAAUCGAGUUACUCGGCGGCCGCGCCGGCGGCAGCUUUUCAUCAUCGUCAGCAGAGAAGUCGGAGUCGGCGGCGGCGGCGGCGGAAGACGGCCGCCAUGCCGCCGCGAAGCAUCCCGGGACCAUCUGCAGAUUCGCAGACUUCAGUCUCAUGAUAUAUGCAGGAAAUAGCUCAGCUGGUUAGAGCGCAGAACGCAUGUAUUAUAUAUACAUACACAUAUAUAAUAGCUUAAUUAGUUGGAUAGAGCGGAGGAGAAAAGGAGUAUGUGUGUGUGGUGGAUUUAUAUUAUGGGAGAUGGGUAAUGUAUACAGAGUACAAAAAUUAAAUAAAAUAAAAUUUAUUAUUUUGAAAAGUCCAUGGACAGAGAUAGACCAAAAAAAAAGGAAAAGUUAGAAAUAAAUAAAUACAUGUCUUUUUUUUUUAAAAAAAAAAUUAUAAAUUAAUUUGUGGAGAUCACUCGCUGUAGUUUAUUUCGGUUUAAAUUAUUUAAGUCCAUCGAAUUCAAAAUUUGCCACGUUAAUUAAUAAAUUUUAUAACUUAUCAAUUUCAUAAACGAAAACAUGUAGAAAGAAAAAAAAAAUUAAGGUUUUCGUGGUGGGGAUCGAAUGUGGAUUAAUGUGACACAGAGUGAUUAAUUAAUUAAUUAUUUAAUUAGUUAAUUAAUGGAGAAACGGAUUAAAAAAAUAAACACAAUCCUCUGGUUGUGGAUUGGUGGCAGGUUUGACACUUUGACUGAAUUUUCCCAACGUACUCCUUUUUGUGACGUCUACAUAUACUUUGUUAUUCAAAUUAAAUUAAAUAAAAAAUAUUACUUUUUAUUAUUUUAAGAUGCGAAUCUCUAGAAACUCCUUUGGUGACCGCCGCACCUCUACGAGUCUACGACCGAAACCACGUAUAAAAUACUAUCCGGUUGCAUGUAAUUAUAACUGUACUACAACUGUAACUGCAUGUAGAGAUACCAACGAAUCGAAUACGAACAAGCUAGGAUAGGCGUGUUCGCUCGUUUAAUAGACGAACGAGCACGAAUUGACUCAUUAAGAUAUUGAGCUAAAAAAUUCAGUUCGUCUUUGGCUUGUUUAUUAAUGAACCGAACACACUACAACAGAAUUAGGUUAUAGGGACACAUGUUUGGGACACUUUUGAGUAAGUGUCCCAUUUAUCCUAAAACUUAAAAAAACAUCUACUAAUGUCUAAAUAUAAAGCCUAAUCCAACCAAAAAUAAAAGAUUACUCUACUCAACCCACCACACCCGGUCGAUUUGGCCCGAUUACAAACAGAAAAAAAAAAAGAAAAAUCAAUUACCAUCUUUUCUUCUCUCUUCACUCAAUCCACUGAAAUUCUAGACGAAGAGCCUUUCCUGUCGUCCUUCUCCGCCACCGCAGCCAACGAGAUAAAGUUUUGGCGGUUGCUAAAUGCUUAAAUAAGUGUUGGUAAAUUAGCAGCACUCUUUUAGGUCAUAGCGACACUCUUUAACUGUCACUAUAUACCUAGCGACCCCACAUAUAGCAACACUUUUUAAAAGUGUCGGUAAUUUUAGUUAGCAGCACUUUUUUGACAUGUACCUACAUUUAAAAGUGUCGCUAUAGACCGUUUUUGUUGUAGUGACAUGAGCUGUCCCGCGAGCAACAAGUUAGAUUAUCAAUCGGUUUACUGGAUAAAAAGUUUGAAAGAGAAUUUUAAAAAAUUAGAAUCUUAAUCUAAGAAUUGAAAUUUAAGUGGGAAGUUUUGAAGUUUAUGUAAAAAACCAGCUACAUUACACUUUCGAUCUCAAACUAUCAGAUGUGCGAUACUUCAGCCUUCAAAUUUUAAUUUAUAAAACUUUCUGACUCGAACGUACUAAAUUUUACAAUAAAGUUCUACAGUUCUGGUCAGUUAACUAAAUAAUUAAUAAUGUAUCAUUGAUAUAGUAGCAAUUUGAUAUCUAAUUAUCGUCGCGUAGUCAUCAACCACAAUAUCAUCACGUCAUAUCAACAUUAGCGACAUAUUAAUAUAUAGUCAAUUAUAUUGACUAAAAUUAAAAAUUUCGAGUCAAAUAUUAUAAAAAAUUAAAAUUUAAGAACCAAAAUAUAAUUUUAGCUAAACAAAAAAACAAAAAAAGGGAGCUAGGUUCGAACCGCACCGGUCUAAUCAUGUGGGUUUGGUGGGUCUAAGGUCUAAAAUGUGGACCAAACCCGAAAGAAUCCAAAUCUAACUAACACGACCACACCCCACGAGGAAAGUAUGUAUACAAAAUGGGUCAAAAUGUAUAAGAACCCCCUCAGCUAUAGGCUAUUUUGAAAUAGACCCCUCAACAGUUUCCUUUUUUUCAUUUUUGAUUGAGACCUUUUCAACUUUUAAUCUCUUCGAUUUAAAUAAUUUUUGUCAAAAAUUUUACUAAUUUAUAAAACUUAUAGGUGAUUUCACCAAAAAUAACAAAUUUAAUUACUCUUUACCAAAUUAAAUUAGGUCGUCAAUUAAUGGUAAAUAACUCAUAAGGUCACUAAAUUUGAUAGAAGUAUUAACUAAACUAAGUAUAAAAAGUCAAAUAAGAAAAAUAAAAGUUGAGAGGAUCUCAAAUUUUAUAAAAAAGGGUGAAGUUAUACGGAGCUUAUCUGAACUAUGAUUCAGUUCGAACAACCAUCUAAUCUUUAAAAGUUUAAUUUUAUUAUCCAACAUUUAUUAUCCAUAAAUUAUACGAAAUAUUCUAAAUAAGUUUAGGAAGAUAAGUGGCAUACGCAUUUUCACACUGACAAAUUGAAUCAAUUAAAAAAUUAGAUAUUGACAUCAAAAUUUUGAGAAAUUACAUAGUUAUUUUAAAGCAAGUAAUAGCUCAGCUCAGCUUAAUAUAUAUUUUUAUUUGAAAGAGAAAGGUAGCAAUGCAAACUAUCUGUUUCAUUUAUUUUUUUUAGAUUUAAAUUGACCAGUUUGAAAUAUGAAAUAAUUAAGUUUUGAACUUGGGACCUCAAGUAUCAAUUAUCAAAUUUUUAGUUGAAUGCGCUAAUUAAGUACCGUCGGUACCGAAAGAAAAUAGGUGCGAGGGCUAUUUUAGAAUGGAAUUAUAGUUGAGGGAUCUCCACACACAUGUUCUUAUCCAUAAAUAGAAUAAAAUAAAUGAAUAAAUAUAUUGAAUGUGUGUUGUGUUUGACCAUGACCCACCAAAAGAGAGAGAGAGAGAGAGAAAAAGCAGUAGCUAGUAAAAGGGAGAGUAAUACUCAGAUGAGAAGCUCUACAUAUCCACCUCAUUACAUUGCACGAGGGGGGGAGAGGAUUUAUUGUUUUGUUGUUGUUGUUGUUGUUGUUGUUGUUGUUGUUGUUGUUGUUGUUUGACCAUUAAAAGAAGAGGACCAUGCAUGCACACACCCUUUUCAAAAUAAAUAAAUAAAUUAAUUAAUAAUAUUUUUUUUAAAAAAAAAACAAAGAAAAGAAAAAGAAGUUUUUGGGGUCUCUCCUCCUUUCUCCACCCUUGAAACCUAUGUCCAAAAUAUUCAAAACUUGUCCAAGUUUUGAAUAUACAUGUAUAUAUUUUUCUCUUUUUUAACCCUAGGGCUUGCAUGUGAAGGGAAUGGCUUUUUUUGCUUUGAGAGCUGUGCUGGAUCCAACUCCUAUGUGUGUACAAAAAGGAAUCUAAAUCUCUCUCUCUCUCUCUCUCUCUCUUAAUUUAACCACUGCAAUUUUACUUAGAACUUAGAAUUGGUUCCACAAGAGGGUGACAAAACCAUGCCAAGUCUCUAUGUUACACCCACACCAAUGCCUAGAUCCUAUAAAACAAAACUGGAUUUACAAGAAGAGGAUAUAUAUUCAACCACAAUUCAAGCUUAAAAUACGCAUGCAUAGAAGUAGUUCACAUAUAAAUUGAAGUGCAUGAAUACAUUCCCAGGGCUCGUACGCGUACAGGAGUAGGUGCAUGCACGGGUGCCCGUUUCUGUACCACACCAUUUUAAUAUGAUUAUUAUGCGAAUCUUUAUCAGAUCAAAGAGAGAGAUGAUGAUCGUACGUGGAGAUGUGAGUCUUAAACACGCAUAAUUAGCGUCUCACGUGGUGGAUUAAUUAGUAUUGUAUGAGAUGGUACAAACAUGCAUGCAUGCAUGCUCAGGGGAGAUCUUAUUGCCUUAAUUAUAUAUACUUCAGUAAGGUUCUCAAUUUUUUUAUUUACUCCUUUUUAAAAGACUAAUAUAUAUAAGAAAUAUUUUUUUUUACAUUUCAAGUACUUCUUUCAAAUAUAUGUUAGAGUUAAAUUUUGUUAGUAAACAGUUAGAGACAACCGUUAUCUCUAUAAAAUUACUAUUUUGCCCUUUUAAAUAUACUCUUCUAGCAUCACCAAUUAUUCUUAUUUGCCCUUUAGUAUAGGACAAAAAGAGGUAUUAUCACCAAUUUUUCUUAUAUGCCCUUAAGUCAGAGGCAAAAGAAAUAUUUUUAGAUUUUUAGCUCUGGUAGAGAUUUAAUCCGUGUUUAAUUGAAGAUACGAAUAGUAGGAGUAUUUGUGAGUAACAGAAAAUUAAUAUACGAGAGUAUUAGAAGGUUAAUAUUAAAAUAAAUACCUUUUUAAUAUCCAAGUUCUUUCAAAUAUUUUUCUAAAGUUAAAUUGUAUUAGUGAACUAUUAGGAACAAUUAUUAUUUCUGUAAAAUUAAUAUUUUGCCUUUUUAAAUAUAUUAUUCUACCAUUGCCAAUUUUUCUUAUUUGCCUUUAAAUCGAAAAGUAAAAAAGAUAUUUUGGCUUUUUUUUUUUAAACUCCGGUAGAAACUUAACCUAUUUUAACUCAAGAUGACUUGACGGGUAAUAAUAAUAAUAGAAGUAUUUUUUAAUAACGGAGAAAUAUACGACAGGUAUGUUUGAAACAACAAAAAAGGUAGGAAUAUAUUAGAUAUUUCAAAAGUUUUUAAGAAGUAUAUAGGCAAUUAAUCCUUAUAAUUUGUUAUAUAUAUAAAAAAAGCCAAUUGUACUUAAUUAAUCUCUCUUGUAAUAAAUAAUAAUUAAUUACCAUGAUAGUAUAAAUUUACCUCUAUAAUUGGAGAAGGGAUAAGGUUAGAAUUUGGUCAAGUGAGAAUAUUUAAGGCAUAAAAUGGCUCAAUAAAUUAAUUAGCUUUAGUUUUGCUUUUGAAAGAUUAGAAGUUCAAAUUAAUUAAGUUGGGAGGGAAUAAGAAUUAUGCCAUUAGAGGAUCCCUAAUAAAUAAGCAAACUCUUAUGGGAAACUAUAAUUAAGCAUAUAUUUUCACUUUUUCUUAUUCCACUUAUUCUCAAAAAUUAUCUGAAAUGACCUAGGACUCUUUCUUUUCCAUAUACCAAAAUUCAAUCAAAUAGAAAUGUACACAAAGAUAAGGGAUAAGAUAAAAUAAAGAAUCUUGUCCUAAAGUAUAAAAUCAAGGUGGACAACAUGAACAAUAUAAUGAAAAAAGGAAAAAAGAAAACAUCUCUGUCGGAUUGACAACGCUAACCAUUAAUUCCAAAAGUUUGAGCCGUCAAAAAUACACAACCAAUUCACUUAAAGUAUAUAGACACAGCGCCCACGUGUCUUGAUUGUGAUUCGGUCCAAUCAACUUCACACCACUUCGAACAUGAUUAGACCCAGCCCAACGUCCCGCCAUCUCGAGAGUUAUUCAGCCAAUCUGACCUCCUACCACAGACGGGAUACUGGUCCCUUUAAGCCAACAAUCUUGUAUUUAAAAAUUGUAGUCUCAUUGUGUUACAUAUUUAUGUUAGGACUAUUAAUUCUUCGGUCGUUUUCAAUAAGAUCAAUCUUUUACAUAAUAUAUAUAGUUUUCGAGCUGGUAUAUAUAUAUAUAUAUUGAGUCCGUAGCUUUAUGAGGUUAUAGGGUUAAAUUCCCAUAUUUUUCGCAAUUUAAUUGGUUAAAUCCCUAUUUAUCCCCUUAUCCCCUAUCUCUCCUCAUUAAUUAGCUCGCAUUAUGACUUUUUCCUAAUCAUUGUUUUCUAAAUUAAUAUUUCACAUUUCACAUGGUAUUAUAGCAGGAGUGUUGAAUCUAAUUAAUAACUUAAAAUUUUGACUACUGUGGAAUGCCAAUAUUUGUUCUUCGUUUUUCUCCAUUUUUUUUUUCUUUUUUCUUCUUGAGUUUCGAUCCAAUUUAGUGAAAAAUGAGUUUUUGCUCCUGCCUUAUUUUUAUUAAUGUUAUUAUUUAUUUAAAUAAGANUAUAUUUGGUUUAUAAUAUUAUUAUUCUCGGGAAUAAUUUAAUUUAUGUUUGGUUAAUUUUAUGGAAUAGUAGGAAAUAAUAAAAAAAAGUGAUGGUUGAAUUAAUUUGAUAUAAAAUACAAUUUAGUAAAAAUAAUUUAUAAUAACAUCAAUUAAUAGCUUUAUAAUAAAAAUAAUUUUUUAUAAUAUAUAAUAUAUCCUUCGAUUUAUAAUAUUAAUAAAGCUUAAAAUUAAACCUUAAAAAUAGCACUAUUUCAUGAAAAAGGUUAAAUAGUUCAUCCUAAGCUAUUUCAAGCUAUUUCGAAAUGGCCGGAAAUAGGCUGGUUUGAUCAGAAUAUUUUAUCCCGACCAAAAAAAAAAAAAAAAAAACUUCUUUUGACGGAAUAACGAUAAUAACUUUUAUUAUUCCUGCUUUAUUCUCAAACCAAAUGGAGCCUAGACAUGCACUCCGAGUUUUGAGGGGUAUAUUGGUAAUUAUUCUUAUUUUCUAUUAGGCUAGGUUGAGUAGAUUAAUUGACUGCCAAUACUUUUUUUUUUUUUUUUAUCAUAAUUGUGUAGGGAUGAUAGCUACACAGAAAAUCACACAAUAUCUUAUGGUCAAAUAAAAGGAAAAAAAAAAGCUAUUUUCUCUCAAUUCAAAUGUGAUUAACUUGGCCCAAAAUGAAAAAAAAAACAAACACAAAAAAAACAAAAACAAAAAAAACAAAAAAAAACACACACACACAUCUAAAAUGAGUUAGGGAUUGGAUUUUCGUUUAGUGUACCGACUCCUAGUUUGAAGUGGAAUCAAACUCUUCCACCUAGCUAGUAUACAUGGGCAAAAUUUUUCUAAUUCUAGAAGCAACAAUCUUAAUUAGACACGACAAACGAACAGAUUGGGCGAUCCCCGAACAGAUUAUCAUAUCUGCAAGUCAUUUAGACAUGAAUAAAAUUUAUCAGUAAAUUUUUCAAUAGCCAACAUUUUUAUCCAUACGCGGACGAGCUAGUGUGCCGGUUACAUGUAAGGUGCUCUAUUUUAUUUUAUUGUAAUAGUCUUUAAAUACAAAAUACACAUAUAUAAUUUUUAAAAGAACGUAAUAUAAUCUACUGUUUAAAUUAUCACAAUAUACAAUAGACAAUAUGAAGUCUUAAAUAAUACCAAGAACGAUUAAGGUUAGAGUCUUAGAGAUAGAUAAAACAAAACGAGUAUUCACUUAUUAUGUGUGUGUAUCCACGGGUGGCUCAGAGUAUCUACAAUUUAACAGAUAUCCACCAAUUUUAUCCGUGAUUUUUUGGAUAAAAGGAUCUGGUGCUCAUACAUGAAAAUUUGCAGAUAACCCAGGGGUAUGAGCAGAGAUAGCUGGUCUAGGCAACAUGGUUAAUUAAUUUCCAUAGGAUACUUUAUCCUUACAUGGAAUGUUCUAUAGUCCUUACAUGAGACAUUAUUCUAAUACCAUACAAUUAAUAUGAUCUUAAAAUGACUUUGACAAGUCAAUUAUAUAUUAGUCCAAUUGUGAAUACGUAAGAACAACAAUAAUGUGCUCAAACGUUCCAAUCCACUCAUUUAAUUUCCUUCUUCCAAAUCAUGUGCUUUGACUUUUUGUACUCCAAUCCAAUUAUGUUCCUUUGGAUUGAUUAUUCUCUAUGCUUUUUGAUGUUUAAUUGAAACAUUAAAAGUGUUUCCAAGUUUGGUCCUUUCUUAAUAUUUGCAAACUAUUAUAGCAUAUAAAUUAAUUAUUUUUUUCCAGUUCAGAUGUAUGAUAAAUAAAAGUUUAAAACUUUUCGUUGGAACAGAGAGUUAAAAUGGGAUAAAUUUUGCACCUGAAAAAGUUGAAGUCUUGUGCGCUGGUGCUACUGCUUAGAAACAAAUCGAGAUUUGUAAAUAGCUCUACUCGAACAUCACUUUCGCAGGUUCAGAUUUUCCGUCCAAGACAAAUAGGCUCCAAUUAAUGCUUGCGUAUGUCCUAUUGCUUACAGAGCCAUACAUCUGUGAUGGAUAGAGUAUUUGGUUUGAAUUAUUCAAAUUCAAGUUGCGCAAUAAUAAUUUGGAGUUUGUGGGAGACUCAGGGGUUAUAUCAGUAUCAAAUUAUUAAAAAGGGAGAAAAAUUGCGAUGUUUCUUCGGAACGAAUAAAUGUAAUAAUAUCAACUAUUCUUUGCUCUUUUUUUUUCCUUUUUCUUUUUAUUUUUGGAAGCGUGGUAAGCAAAUCAAUAAUGAUAAGAAUAAAGAAGUACAUGCAUUAACACACACACAUAUAUACAGAGCAGGACUACUCUAUUCUUAUAAGAAUAAACUUUUUUAUACUCAUAAGUUUUCGGCCAUUGGAUGAAGGGAUGUGUGUAUAGGAUGACAGUGGUCCCCGAUUAGGAUGAUAGUGAUUUCCUAGGGUUAAGUGGGUGGUCGAAACCUUAUGAGUAUAAAAAGGACUAUAUAUAUAUAUAUAUGAAUCACUUAAUUAGAAAUUACUCUCGAAAUAAAUAAACACCAAUAAAAUAAGGUAAUGUAAUAGAAAUAAAAGAUUGAGCCAAAGCUUUAUAGGGAGCCGCGUAAAUAGCAGGCCGAGUUGGGCCGACCCUUUGUUUUGGUUUCGGGCCGGAUUUAAAUUUAUCCGGCCCGAUUUGCGGUGUCCGAAAAGUUUUUAGCUAUAUAUUGUAGGUUGGAUAAAUUUGGUUGGAUGUUCCUAACCUUUUACCCAAGUUUCAAUCGAGUUCCUAACCUUGUAAUUAUUGCAAUUAGAUUCUUAAUAUUCUCUAAUUAAUCUAAUUAACCAGAUAAAGUUUGAACACUAAUUAAUUUCAGAAGGAAAAUAUUUCGAAUACUAUUUACAAAUAAAACAAUUGACUCUUUUUUGCUGUUGAUUUUUGGAAACUACUUAAUGUGUGAAUAAUUUUAUUUAUUUUAAACUCUUUAACUAUCAUAAAUAAUGAGUUGAGCUGGAAUGCUAUCGGCAGCAAACGAGCUCCGUUGCCACCUAUUUGUUUUCGAUAAUGGAGCCUUCAAAUCGACGAUCGGCACCGUUGAACAUGAUCUAUACCACUUAAAGUAUCUAAAAAUCAAAGUUUAAAUUUUUUCGACAUCAUUGACCUAAUGAUCAAAGGGUUUCAAAAUUUAUAAUUUUAAUGAUAGAUAUAAGGCGUUUUCUUUUUUAACGGUGUAAAGCUAUUCAAAUCAAUUGAAUUUUGGUUAGAAAAUUUUUUAAACUAUUUAGAACAAGAUCUAUACUCUUGAUCUUGAUUACAAAAUUUCUAUCAUCACUUUUUAGAGGAUAUUCAUUUUCAUCCGUUCAUUUUUACGUCCACUUGAUAGACAAGAGAACAAUAUCGAAAAAACAUAAAAUUUGAUUUCUAAAUACUUCAAAUGGUAUAGAUCAUGUUCAACGGUACUAAUCGUCGAUUUAGGGCUCCAUCAUUGAAAAUAAAUGGAUGGCAACGGAGACUAUUUGCUACUGAUAGUAUUCCAGCUCAACUCCGUAAAUAACAUAUAUUAUAAAGUUGAUGUCUGGGGCAUAAAGUGUAUGUACUAAAGAAGGGGAAAAAAAGUAUAAGAUCAUUAAAUCUAAUUAUAAGAUUAUAUUAGAUUUUAAGUCUUUGAAAACUUGAGUUGAUUAAGAAAUAUUAGAAACGUAAAAAUGUUCAAGACCUAAUUGCAAUAAUUAAAAGGCUAGGGACUCAUUUGAAACUCAGGCAAAAGGUUAAGGACCUUAUUACAAGAAUAAGAAGAUUAGGGAUUUAAUUGAAAGGCCGGUAAAAGGAUCGUCCCUAGCACGAGUAGCAAAGGAACUUGGUGGUUGGUAUCUGAGAUCCCAAGUUCGAAUUUUAGUUGAUUCAUAUUUUCAGCUAAAUUUAUUUCUAAAAAGAAGCACUACAACAAAAACAGUCUAUAGCGACACUUUUAAAUGUAGGUACAUGUCAAAAAAGUGCUGCUAGCUAAAAUUACCGACACUUUUAAAAAGUGUUGCUAUAUGUGGGGUCGCUAGGUAUAUAGUGACAGUUAAAGAGUGUCGCUAUAACUUAAAAGAGUGCUCCUAAUUUACCAACACUUAUUUAAGCAUUUAGCAACCGCCGAAACUCUAUCUCGUUGGCUACGGUGGCGGAAGAGGACGACAGGAAAGGCUCUUCGUCUAGAAUUUCAGUGGAUUGAGUGAAGAGAGAAGAAAAGAUGGUAAUUGAUUUUUCUUUUUUUUUUUUCUUUUCUGUUUGUAAUCGGGCCAAAUGGACUGGGUGUGGUGGGUUGAGUAGAGUAAUCUUUUAUUUUUUGUUGGAUUGGACUUUAUAUUUAGGCAUUAGUAGAUAUUUUUUUAAGUUUUAGGAUAAAUGGAACACUUACUCAAAAGUGUCCUAAACAUGUGUCCCUAUAACCUAAUUCUGUUGUAGUGAAGAUAUUAAGAUUUGAAAAAUUUUAACAGUACUGCGACACUCCGAUAGUCCCACAUCGGAUGAGGGGCCAUGGAACCUAGUAAUAAUAACUGAAUUUAAAUAUUUUGGUUCAAUGAUUUAGGCCCAACAAAUUUUUGUGGCUAACGGAUCAGGUAGUUACAAGUACCCAAUAGAUGAACUAUACCCAAUAGAUGAACUUAAAUUAAGUAAAGAAAAAUUAAAACAAUAAGUUAAAAUGUAAAAAAUAACUGGUACCCUAUCGGAAUUGUGAAUGAUAAGAAUAUAUACGUGGACUUAAGAACGACGCUUUAAUACUUUACAUCGAAAUUGUGAAUGAUAAGAAUAUAUACAUGGGCUUAAGCAUUUUGCAUGAACUAUCAGAGAACGAUACUUUAAUACUUUAUAUCGGAAUUGUGAAUGAUAAGAAUAUAUACGUGGACUUAAGCAUUUUGCAUGAACUAUCAGAGAACGAUGCUUUAAUACUUUACAUCGGAAUUGUGAAUGAUAAGAAUAUAUACGUGGACUUAAGCAUUUUGUAUGAACUAUCAGAGAACGAUACUCUAGUACUUUACGUACAUAUUCAACAUUAUCCACUCCUCGCGAAGGAAAAUGUAAGUAAACAUGAUAAUUUUUGUUUGGAUCUUAUUUUCGCGCCAAUUUGCAUCACUAGUAUCUAUGGCUUUCGCGAACCACUAAAAAAAAUGUCCUACUUAUUAUUUUUCUUUUUUUUUCUUUUUUUUUAUUCUUUUUGUGUCUAUACCAAAUUACAUGGUGUUUAGUGCUCCACGCUUCUUUGGAACUUUAUGCGAGUGAGCUUGAUUUUUUUUAAAAAAAUUCUUUUAUUUAAAUAUAAAUAAAAAUAAUAUAAAGGGAAUCCUAAAUCAAGAUUUGAAUUUUAGACCUUUUUAAAUUAGAAAAAAGGGAGGGAUUUAUAUUCAAGACACACUGUUAUGAUACUAUCUGAAAUAAUAUAAAAUAAUCGUGUUUUUUUUUUGUGAAAUAUUACGUUAUCACCAAACAAUAUUUUAAUAAUUUUAUAUGUUUGAUUUAUACUAGCGCGUAAAAUAUAAUAAACUAGAUAUAUAUACCAACCCCCACACCUAUAAACCUAAUUAGGAUAAAACUUAUAUAUAGAACGUCGUAGAGCAGAAACACUUCAUCAAUCGGUAAAAGUGAGAAGUCCGCUUGUAAUGUAAACAUUAUUAACGAAUCUUGGAUGAUCAGAUUUCUCCUCCUAUAUAUCUCCAGCACUCUCCGAGAAUGCCCGUCGAAAACAACUUUUAAUUAGAUCAUGACGCAGGCUUAAGCCACAUAAAGAGGAACAUAAUUUUUUGACAAAAACGAAAAUAUUAUUAAUCAACUAUAAAAGCUAAUUACAUUUACCAAAGGCCACGUGUAUAUAAAGGGUCGAUACCUGAUUCCUAAUAUAAUUGAAGAUAAUAAAUUCUAAUAUACCUUUAAAUCUAAGCCGAUCGGAAAUAACUAAAUAAUCAGACUCAAAAUAGAAAAUAUAUAGAAAACAAACGAAAAGUUAUGGCUGUUAUAAAAAAAGGGGCUAUUGCUUAUAUACUCCUGAAAAGUUUCCGACUUUUUGAUUUACCUCUCUUAUAAGGCUAAAAUUGAAAAUACCCUUUCUACGUUCAACAUAUUUCUAAUAUAUUCCUAUAAUUAAAAUCUGUUAAUUAACUCUGUUAUCUCUAUAAAAUUACUAUUUUGCCCUUUCAAAUAUACUCUUCCACCUUCGCUGACUUUCUUAUUUGCCCUUAAAGUCAGGGGCACAAAAAGUAUUUUGACUUUUGGUCUUUUCCAAUAUAUCCCUCUUACCGUCACCAAUAUUUUUUAUUUGCCCUCAAGUUAAGGGCAAAAUUGGCAUUUUAUUAUUAUUUUUUUUAACUAUGGUAGAUAUUUAACUCACAUUUAACUCAAGUUAACUUAACAGGAGAUAACUGUGGGGGUGUUUUGCAAUAACGGUGGAAUAUAUGAGAGAUAUUUUAGAAAAAAAAAGAAAAAGUAGGGGGUAAAUCGGAUAUUUUUAAACGUACGAGGAAUAUAUAGGCAAUUAUCCCUAUAAAAAAUUACCGAAUUCAACGAGAUUUUUGACUUAGCUUAGUUGAGCUACAUUUUUUCAGAAACUCUAACGCUAAUCUGGGGCCUUUAUGAAUCUCCUAACAUGAUAUUCAACAAAGAUCUCAGGUCCCUUUGGAUUGUGGAUUUGUGGCUGGGAAAUUGGAUGGAUUUGGGUGGUGGAGAAAAAAUAAGCCCAUGAUCACUUUAUCCAACCACAAUUUUUUGUAUUUUUUGUUUUGUUUUUUUUUUUUGUGGUUUGCUAAAUGCACUUUUCUCAUGUAUUUUUCAACAUGUGGCUCAUUGGAUAGCUCGAAAUGAAUAAAUUUAUCUCAACAAUUACUUAUUUUGAUCAAAAUAUCUAGCCUUUGAAAAAUUUGAUUUUACUAGAUAUAUGAAUAUAUUGAAUUUAAGCCAGUUAAUAACCUUUUAACUUUAAAAUUUGAAUGAAUCAUUUAUCUUUAUGGAUUUACUUAAAAUAUUUUAUGCAAUUCAUUAAAAUAAGCAAUUAACUUAAAUUUUGUAUCCGAAAGCUAUCAAAUUAUUGAAAUCAAACAAAUUGAAAUAUUGAAUACUAAAAUCAAAAUUUUGAAAGAUCGAAUAGUCGAAUCAAAUUCAGAUAAAUUUUAUAUAUUGUUAUCCAUAAAAUAUGACAAAAGUAUCGUACCACUUUAAUACAUGCCCGCACCCUUUUUUUGGGUUAAUUUCAUAGAGUCUGCAAAUAUAUCGAAUUACAAAUAUAUUUUUACAAAAUUCAACUUUCAUAUAUUGUUCCUAUAAAAAUGCUAAUAUUUUCAAAUAUGUCCCUACCAUUAGAAUCCGUUAAAAAACUUUAAUUAACUAUGGGUUAAAUGCUUAACUCUGGUUAAUUUAUGAGAUAACUUGACAUUUUUUUGCUUUUCUUAUAUUAUUACUAUUGUGGCUUUUGGAGGGAUAUAUUUAUGAUGGCAAAAUUGACAUUUCACUUAAAAUAUAAAUAGUUCUAUACCGGCAACAAACCAGAGGAACAUAUUCAAAAAUAUUAGAAUUUUUGUAGAAAUAACAUAUAAAAGUUGAAGUUUGUUGGGAUAUAUUUACAAUUCAUUAUGUUUGCAGGGAUAUGAAUGCAUUUAACCUUUUCUUUUAAAAAAAAAUAAUUUUUGUCCCUUUGCAAGGUCUUAAGGCCACAUAGAAGAACAAAAUUAGUCAAUAAUAGUAUAAAUUAAAGUCAUUAAAUAAAAUAAUCCAUGUUCACUACAACUUUUCAUGGGUGCGAAAAACUUUCAAAAAGUAAAUAGUUAAACUCCUGAUUUUCAAUCACAAAAAAAAUUUCGUACUGAAUAAGUAAUUACUAAAUAUCUUAUUCUGACAUCCAAACAGAACCAAAACGUAUAAGUUAUCACUAAAUAACUUAUUCUGGUAUCUAAACAGAGUCUAAACUAGUAUGCAAUAAUUAGCAAAUAAACACUGCGCUAUGGUCAAUCUCUAAGUCAUUAUCCUAACAAUUAAAAGCUCUCAUGCUUCAAGAGAAGCUAAAAAUGUAUAAAAUUUAUCUGAACUAAUUAUUAUCUUGAUUUGGGCACUUUCAAAAUUUUAAUUUUACUACCCAAUUAGUUUUCAAUCUGUUCGAUUUGAAUCAGUCAACUGAAAUUUAACUCUAAAAUUUAAGCUAAUUAUUUACUUUAAUGAAUUCACUUAAAGUUGUGAGAAUUGAAUGAAAAAUACCAACUAAAUCCAUAAUGAUUAAAGAUACAUUCAAAUUUUGGACUCAAAGUGCCGUUAACCAAAUCAAAUUAAACAAAUUGAAAGAUUGAACAAUAAAAUCAAAAUUUUAACAGUUCGGUAGUAAAUUCGAGGGGUCCAUAAUUAAAAUAAGUUCCAUACAUUUUUACAUAAAAAAUAAUACCCCUGAUUUGUAAUAAGCAAAAAAAGUUGUUUCGCGCACAAGUUAUUACUGAAUAACUUAAUUAUACCGAUAUCGAAACACAUAAGAUAUAAAUUAAUUAGUAAUAAAUGAAGGAGUUAAUUUCAUACAUGUUUCUGUAAACAUAGUAAAUGGCAAAUAUAUUCCUACAAAGUUUAACUUUCAUAUGUUAUCUCUGCAAAAUCCUGAUAUUUUCAAAUAUAUUCCUCUGGUUUAUUACCUUUAGAGAACUAUUUAUAUUUUUAAUUUUGCCAUCACAAAUAUGUCCCUCCAAAAGCGAUAACAGUAUAAUAUAAGAAGAGUAAAAAUGUCAAAAACUAACUAGGAUUAAGUAUCUAACUUAUGGUUAACUUAAUUUUUCUAACGGAUUCUAACGGUAGGGAUAUAUUUGAAAAUAUUAAGAUUUUUACAGGAACAAUAUAUGAAAGUUGAACUUUAUAGAGAUAUAUUUGUCAUCUACUAUAUUUACAGGGACCUGUAUGAAAUUAACCCUAAAUGAAGGCACUGGGGCAUAAAUGUAUGAAUAUAUCAAGCACAUGUAAUUUAUAGUUUUUCAAUUAAUGGAAAUUGUAUAAGAUGGGGACAUGUCCUUGUCGUUUGCUUGCUAUGCGUGACAUAUAAUACAGCCAAAGAAUUGCGUCAAACAUCUCCCAUAAUAUUAGUGGGGUUAAUCGCACCGUUGGUCCUAAACCUUUACAAUCAAAAUCGGUAGAAUUUUUUAUAGAAAAAUUCUAUUGACUAUUUAGAUAAAGAUCAAUAACUUCAAUCUUAAAUUAAAGUAUCCGAUCAAUCUUUUUUAGGACGUCGUUCGAUUUUGACCGUUCAUUUUAUCCCCGCAUAAUGUACUUUAUUAUAAUUUCAAAAAAUUACGAAAUUUGUUUUCUAGAAGUUUCAAAUACUCUAGGUCAGGUGUGGAUCAUUGAUUCGGAGGCUCCAUUAUUGAAAAUAACUUAUGAGUAUAAAGGAUGAAACGAUAUGCGGUUAGGAUGAUAGUAGCCCCCCUAGGGUUGGGCGGGUGAUUCGUUGAAUAGUAUAUCUAAUAGAUAAAAAUGGUCAAAGAUGUAAAUCAAACGAUAAAAAACUUGAUAGCAUCAAGCGCUUGGUGUUAUCGAUAGUAUUGCAGCAACACUCUAUCUAAAAUAAAAUCAUGAUCUAUGCUUAAAACGAGAAAUUUCCCUGUCAAUUUUUUGAUUCCAUUCGCGUAUUUUAAUAUAAGCAAGAGUUAAUGUGACAUCUCUAAAAUAUGAAUUAAUUCUAUAUAUAAGAUAUAAUAGGGCUAAACUUUUUAACUUUGCUAUAGUAUUUUGAGCAGUGGUUAAGCCCAAGAUGUUAAGUAGGUUAAGCAUGCUAGAGCUAAGAGUAAUUCUAGGAUAGAUGAUCCUUUGGAAAGCGUAGCGUCACAAUUGGUAUCAGAAUUAAUCACCAGCCGGAAGUGCGAGAUGAAUCUCGGUUAAGCUAAGGUCAUAUAGCGGGCAAAAUGCGAUGAAUCUCAGUUGAGCUAAGGUCAUAUAGCGGGCAGAACGCGGCUUCUUGGUUGACAGCCAUUGUGGUGAAGUGCGGCUCCCCACAAAGUCAACUAAAGCUAGCGAGCGAGUCUCGCAUUGCCUGGUGCCUGUACGGAUGUAACGACCCGACCCGCCAGCAAUAAAAGCUCGGUGGGCCCAAACACCGGCCCAAAAUGCUUAAGCCCAGUUAUUAUGUCUAGCCUAAUCAAACUUAUAUACCCUCACAUCUAACCAUAACUAUUUGAUGUGGAAUUAGUAGAGUGUCACAUACUCCCCCCAUUUAGGUCCUGACGUCCUCGUCAGUCCUAAACGCACACAUAGUCCAAAAUCACCAAGUGAUGUGAGAGUUGUCUCGCUAGCCUUGUCAUUCCGACCCUGACUUAGCCUGUUAUUCACCGAUUUUGACUUAGUCUAUCAUUCCGAUCCUGCCUCAGCCAAGACUCAGCUCACACUUCCGGCUGGUGAACCGGCUAUGAUACCAAGGGCCUAUUUGUUUGUACAGAAGUAGGGUGGAAGUGGGAAGGGGAAAGUAAUUUUCGGUGAAAAUAAACCAUUUCCGUUGUUUGGUUCACCGUAAUUUUAUUACGCCCGAAAGUCUAGUUCACCCAAAAUAAUGAAAUUUACUUCCCCCUCCCAUGGGGCGAAGUCAAUUUCGGUGCCGUGAAAAGAGGCAAGAGUGGGAAUUAAUGUGUUAGGGUUACCCUCUUCUCUACCCUUUUCUCUCCCGAGUCCCAGACCUAACUCCAAAUAUAUUCAAUUGUGGAAGUAAUUAAAUUUUUUAUUUUGAUUGUAUGUCUAAAAUAUGAUCAAAUUUGGUUAGGUAAGUUUUAAUAUAUUUUUUGUUUAAUUUGUAUAUUUAGAAAAUGAUAAAAAAUGAAUUUGUUAAAUGUUAAUAAUUUUUUAACUUUAGAAUUUUAUUUGUUGUAUUAUUAUAAUUUAUAUGCAAACAAAUAAUCAAAUUUUUAAAAAUUUUAUUUUAUAAUCAUACAUAUAUAUAAUUAUAUACAUAUAUAAUUAUAUUAAUUUUUAUUUAUUAUAAUUUAUUAUUCACUAAGUUACAAAAUAGACAAUGAUAUCACUUCGGAGGUAAGUAUAUCGGGGGUGAAGAGCUACACUUUUUACGUCAUCUACUUCCAACCAAACAAAUAACAGAACUCGCAAAACUGCACUUUCACAGUUAGAAACAAACAGCGAAAGUGAAUUAAUUUCAUCCCAACUCCACUUCAACCCAAAGUGGACCCACAAGCAAUAAUAACUCGUUGGGCCCAAAAUGCUUAAGCCUAGUUACUUUGUCUAGUCUAAUCAAGUUUAUAUAUCCCCACAUCUAGCCAUAACUAUCCGAUGUGGGAUUAUUGGGAUGUCACAACAUAUACUUGAGCUUGGAAAGGAAUGUAGCACUUCUAGAAUUUAAAAGAGUCUUAUAUGUUGACUAUUUAUUAUUAGGCUAAAAUAGGUCCAACUUUUUGCCUCGUAACAAUAGGCACAUAAGACUAAUAAGCUGAGUUGGGUGAACCUAAUAAGUUGAGUGGGAGUGCGGUCCCCAAGAGAUCUAACGGUAAGAGGCCCAACAAUAGACCAAACAUCUAGGUAGAUUGAGCCAGGUCAAAGACCGUAAGCGCUAUGGUUGAGCCCUUAAAUGCGAUUGGUGUGUCAUUUCUAUCAGCACGUAUUUUUAGAAUAAUUGGUUAAAUGUUUAUUAUAAGAUAUAAUAGGCCUAAACUUUGUAACCCAGCUAUAGUACUUUGAGCGAUGGGUGGUCCUCUGAGAAGCAGCCACAUCAGAAAGCAAGCAAAAUCUUUUCUUUUUCAUAUGAAAAUACAAAUAUUAAACUAGUUAGAGUUCUCUGUAGCCUAAUUUCUUUUGCUAUAUCAUGUGACCACAUUAAAUUCAAACAAUUAUUAAGAAUACUAGUCAUAUAUUAAUCCAUAAACUAGAAAUUCUGACCUCUAUACAAUAUGUUGUAGAUUGAAACUUAAAUUAUGCUAUUUAUUUGUUUAUUUACAAAUGGACAAAUUAAGAGACAUAAGCUUUAAGUUACAUAUUAGAUUUUCUAAAGGAGACCUUUUUUUAUAAAACUAUGGCACACUGAUUAAUGAUUGAUGGUGAUGUGCAUUAAACGGUUGAUGAUGUUAUUUUGACCCCACAAGUGGUUUUAUAAAUUUUUUUUAAAAAAUAGAGACAAGUUGUUACAUUAUUAUAAAAGGGAAAAAAUAUAUAAAAGCUUCUUAAACUCUAUAAACAUAGCAAAUAAUUUAGGAUUAAUUGCAUAACAGCUCGCUAUAAACAUAUCAAAUAGCAAAUAUUUCAAUUUUUAUUUUUAUCCCUCCAAGAGUUCAGUAAUAUUCAUAUUUAUCUAUCUAGUUUGUUACCGUUAAAGCACGGUUUAGCCGUAGAAAAGUAAAAUAAUAUUUUUGUUCUUAUAAAUACAUCCCUCUAAGAGUUCUAACUAUUAGAAUUAUACAGAAAUAUUCUUCCAAAAAAUAUUUUAUCCAAUAAUAUGAGAGAGGUAGAAAGGUAAAUUUAACUCAUAAAAAAAAGAAAAACUCAUUCAUUAACUAGGGCUAAGUAAUUUACUUAUGAUUAAUUAUAUUUUUCUAACGGAUUCUAGGAGUAUAUUUGAGAACGUUAGAACUUUUGUGAGGAUAAAAAUAUUAAAAAUUUGAACUUUAUAAGGAUAUAUAUUUGCUAUUUGAUAUGUUUAUAGAGAGCUGUAUGCAAUUAACCCAAUAAUUUAGUAGGCUCAUCUUUUCAAUCAAAAUUAUUAAUUAUACAGUUAUUUUAGUCGUGCGUCAUACACAUCAACUACAAAUAUAUAUAGAAAUUUAUCUUUUCUAUUUUUAUAACUAAGCAUGCGAAUCGGAAUAUAAAAAGUGCGUACUUUAAAUUUUUAUUUUUUUAAUAUAAUAUGUUAUAAUAGAAAAAUUAACUAUGUUUAUGCCUUAAGGCUUCUUUGACUUUGUCAUUAAUAACUUCAAUUGAACAGAGGGAUCUCUCGAAAUAUUUGAUAAAUUUUAGAAGCUCUAAUUGUUAAGAUUAAAAAUUUAGAGGUGUACGUAGUACACUUUUUUUGUUAAUAAAUUACCACCUCUUGAUAUCCAAGAAAUUUUAUUUGCUUUAAGUGUAAAUCUUUUUAAUUUUUAAGUUGAAAAAUUUAUCUGUAUUUUCAACUUUGUCCCUGACUAUUGUCUUAUUUGCUCUUGAAACAGUACCAGUUUCUUUCCAAUAUAUUUCUGUCCUUGAGAAUUAUUAAAAACGUUUAAAAUUUUAGAUGAAUAAAUUUAAAAUAUGAAUACUUUUUUAGAGGCGUAUAAGAAAUUGCCUAUUUAGUUUAUUAUUCAAUAUCGAUACAUUUAUGCAAAUUAUAUACUUUUUUUUAAAAUUUUUUUUGAGGUCCAUAACAAACAUGCUCAUCACAGUUUGAUCCCAAAAUUUUUGAAAUUUAUUGUCAAUAUUUAGUUAGAAAUGGACUAAAGUGGAAAUUGAAAAUUUCCUAUUUAUAUUCAAAUCUUUUUGCUAGCUUUUGCUGUGUAGAAAACAAAUCUAUUUUGGAUUCUUUUCAUUGAGAAAAAGUCUAUUCAUUUUUAGACUAAGUACAUCAACUUAAAAUUUUGAAAAAUAAAAUAUAGAAUUUUGAAGUCAGAAAAAAAAAAAAAAUAUUUAUAAGAGAAUUUUUUGAAUUUUGGCCUGUUAUACAAUUAUAGAUAAAAUUAGAUUAGCGUUGAUAAAAUUAUGUCAAAUGACUGAUCAAGCGCAAAAUGCGGCUCUAAAAAUAUUUGCUUCUUCCAAAUAUUUACUAUAUUAUUAUCGACGUAGAUAAAAAUUUUAUUUUUUUGUAACUUUUGAAAUUAUACUAUAAGUUAAUUUUUAGAUAGAAAAUAAUUUUCAAUUGAAAAGCUCAAGUGAGAAUCAGAAUACGAAUCGAUUUAUCACAUCCAUUGAAAGUGCCUCUCCCAUCUCUUUAUUACAAUUAUGAUAAAGUUAUUAUUAUAUACGCAUGUGCCCUCACAGUCUUUUUGUUGUACGAUUGGACACCUUAAAAAGGAAAAGAGAAAAGAGCUUCGGUACGGGCCACGUGGCGUGAGAUGCAUCUGUCAAUAGAUACGGAUACUUAAAAAAUUUUAAAGUUCAAAUUCAAAAAAAAAAUCGAAUUUUUUCGAUACAUGAGGGAUAUGGUUUUAAAUACGGAUAUUUUUUAAAAAAAAAGUCGAUGGGUUUUGACUCUAAUUUGAUUCAGAUCGGAUCUCUAAAAACGGUUAAACCUCUUCUCUUACCGAUUUGAUUGCAGGUCCGAUAAUUUAAUUAGGGAUGUCAAUGGAUUGAAUUCAAAACGAAUUUUUUAAAAAAUUUGAAUCCGAACCCAACUACCAACCCGAAUCCUAUGGAUUUUAAAAAUUCAUAUCCAAAUCCGAAUCUGUCCAAAAAUUCGAAACUUGAACCUGAAUCCGAACUCAAAAAUUCGAACCUGAAAUAAUUAUUUCUCUUUAUAAUAUUUACAAUAUAUUAUAUUAAAUCUAAACUUUUAAAAAUAUAAAUUUAAAUACAGCAUCAAACAUAUAUAUAUAAUGUAAAAUAAUUUCAUAUUAGUGUCGGAUUCAAAUAGGAUACAAUUAAAAAUUCAUAUCCGAAUUUAAAUCCAUUAGGUUUUCAUUUUUAAAAUUCAUAUCUAAAACUAUAUCUAUUUAGUAUCGAACAAAUUCAUCUCGUACGGAUUUGGAUUCGGAUAAAAUUUCGAGUAUCAAUAUCUAUAAACAUCCCUAAUUUCGAUGCAUGGCACAAAUAUAAAUGUGUGAGUUGUUUUCACAAUUAUCGAUAGUUGAGGGGUCUUUCUACAAUUUUUACGAGCUAAAAAACAGCGGCACAUCGCCACGGCCCUGUCGCAUUCGCGCUUGCUUUUGUCGCGGCAUAGAAAAACAAUUCCAUGAACCGCGAGCGCCACGUCAUCCGUAGAUUAGUAAAUUAUCUACCGUUCAAUUUUUGCUCCCGCGGCCGAAACUUGUCGGUUUAUGAUGACGUGGCACGGUGAGUCCACGCAGAAAAUAUCUCGGUGGUGUGGCCUACGAAAUCAAAUAUAUUUAAAAUUUAAAAAAAAAUCCGAAUAAAAUUACACCACGAGUCCCCAACCUUUGCAAUGCAUUUUCACUUUGGUACCUAACUUUUUAUUUUUAGCAACGAAAUCCCUAACAUAUAGAUGCCGACCCUCUAAUUUUCUAUUACGGAAUUGAAACACAUCAACUCUGAUGAAGUCCUAUUUAUUCACAUAAAUUAUAGCAUGAUCUAGUAUCCCCACUAGUCAAUUACAGUAAAGCCUAUUUAUUUUCACUAAAGGUGAAUUUCAUAUUAAAAUAAACUUUCAGGUAAACUAAAAUUCGUGAUAAAAAUUAAUUUUUAAUUAUUUAUUUGUAUAAUUAUGCAGCUAAAAUUUUUUCAGUUCUCACAUUUUUUUCUAUUAAUUUUGAUUUGAUAUGUGCCGAAGCCAAUCACGUUAUUAGCUUAUUUAGUGAGGGAGAACACCCAUGGUGAGGAAAAAAAAAAAUAGGGGGCAAAUCAAAAGUGGAGUAAAGGAUGAGGACCACCCCGAAAGUUUACAUUAAUUAAUUUUUUAAAUUAUUAAAAAAAAUUUAAAAAAUUAUGAUGAUAAUGAUGAUGAUGAUGAUGAUGAGAAUAAAAGGGGGCGACGCGGUCAUUGUGGGGAGGAGCAUUUUGGCCAUAAUAAAAUCCCCAAAUCUCUCUCUCUCUCUCUCUCUCUCUCUCUCUCUCUGUGUUCGAUUCGUAGCAACGCCUCUCAUCUCUAAGCGUGGAGUAAUCGAUCAAUUGUUGUAAGCAUUAAUCCUCUUCCUUUGUGGUUUUUACCCUAAUUUUCCGGAUUUUACUGCAUUUUUUGGCGUAUUUUUGGCUUAAUUUCACUUCAAAUUGGAGAUUGUAGUGAGCUCCUCUUAGUUUGUGGAAUUUCGAGUUUCGGAGCUUAUUUUGAUGUAAUUUUUGCUUGGUUUGGCUCAAACUAGGGAACCCUAGGUCGGAGAAGUGUUGGAGUUGGUGAUCUUAGUGGGGAGGAGAUGGGGAGACGAGGUGCCCUCGGAUUCGCGGCGAGAUUCGCCGUUUAAGUUGAUGGAAACAUCGGUGAGGUCCCUUUUUGAUCCUGGUUCCGAAUCUCGAUCGCCUCCUCCUCGAUUUGUUUCUUGUGAUUUUUGUCGAUUAUUUUUUGGUUUGAUUCGGUUUGCUUUGUUAGGGAAUCGGUUGGAAAAGAGUUGGUUUUGGAACUGCGUUUGUUGCAUCUUAUCCAUGGGUUCGUUCGUUAAGGAGAAGGCCCCCGUUCUUUUCGCAUUCGCAGGUAAAGGUGUUAUCAUCAUCUUUUUGUGAUUUGUUACAAUAGAGGUUAAAAUGGUUAAUGAGAGGAGGGAUCUUGUGGAGACCGUACAAAGUUGGUUUCUUGUGAAAUGAUUUAUCCAUUUGAUGUUGUGUAAUUAAAACAUCCCCAGGAAAAGGAUUGUGAUUUAGAUUUGACAAGCUUAUCCUCGGAAAAUCGUAGAAAACUACUUUUCAAAAAAAAAAAAAAAAAAAAAAAAUUCCAUAGAAAACACCCUUUCCAUAGUUUUCAUUUUAUUUCUACUUUAACUGGGAGCCAAACAGACGGAAAAUAUUAUUUUUCCAAUUAGAAAAUUGUUUUCUGGGAUAUUUUCCGAGAAACCAAGCACCCCUUUAGAUCUUGUUAUUACUAUCUUGCCAUUUAGAUAGAUCUCGCUUUAUUUAUGGAGUGUUUAUUUUUGCAUCCAUAUCCCUGGGCAUAUCCAAAAUCUUAUAGAUAUCCUUGAAUCUUGGUCUUUGUGGCGUACCCUCAGAAACCUUGCUUAUUUGCGCACUUGCCGUGCCAGGAGUAUACAUGCAAAAUUAUUUUUCAGGGGUGUGGAAGCAUAUGGCAAUUUUCAGGGUCUUCGCGCUAUUUCGAAUAUUGUUAUGCACGCGAGUAUAAACCGUACGAUACUGCUCGUUGAUUAGUGCAUCAGCACAUGAAUUAUUAACAUGUAACCAUAAAAAUUGUAUUAGUCAUUUCACCGUUAAAGUAGAUAGUUGAUUUAUUCCAUUUAACAUAGCUGCAUAAUAGUCAUAUUCUUCUUUAUCUGAUUUGCUGAAUAUGGGUUUUGUGGAUGUUCCCCAACUCUGUAAUAUUAUAUUAUUACUACUUUUGUGGUAAUAAUGACUGUCCAGCCAUUUUUUGCCUUCUUUUGUUACUGGAUGUAAUGUUCAAAAAAUCUUUCUUGGUUGAUAUGGUAUCAGCAUAUAAUUUUAUAUUUCUGCCAGCUUGUUGCUUUCGCUGCAAUGCUCUUUUUGGAUUAUUGGUAUGGAAUUUGUAAAUAAUAUGCCCCUUUUUGAGUCAGCGUAUAUUUCGUUUGCGUAUUCUUAGUUCUGCCAUGGGAUUACAGAAUACAGUUGCAUGAUUCAAUUGAUUGUGAGAAAUGUCGCUAAGGUGUCCUAUGAACUAUAAUGAACUUUAUUGUGAAUUCAGGAGAUUUUAUUCGUUUACACUGUGUGUGGUUUCCUUAAAUUUCACUGACUGAGUGGUGGUUCUAUCUCAAGAGGAACUGAGGAUCUAAUAUUUGCUUUUUUGUAUCCACCAAUCAGAUCGUACCAAACUAUUGGCCAAUUGAUUUUUUUUAAAAAAAUUAUUACAUAGGUAUAAGCCACAUGAUAGAAAGUUCUGCGCACACCAACUCUAUGAUCAUUUUGCAUAGAUAGGCGCAACCAAUCCUUUGUCCAGACUAUUGAAAUAUGAGAUUCUAGAAAAUUGUCUGGUAAGACAUGUACAAUGAACAGUCUGCUGGACAAAUGAAAGAUUUGCAAAGAAUCGUUGAAUCAUCAAGAGGACGCUCAAAUUGGUAGAGUAUUAUUCGAUCGCAUGUCUGAUGUAAUUAGUAAACGAAUGAUAAGUACAUGUAAAUGCAGAUGGUAGGGAGUAAUAACUUUAAUUGUAGAAAUAAUAUGGCAUAUACUAUAUAUUAACCCAUAAUAGGCUUGACGUGCUUCACAGUGAGUUCUCAUUUUUCUUUAUGAGAACCACUAUUUGAACUAGUCAUUAUCAUAGUAAGUUGUGCUCUUAUUAUUCCACUUAUUUCUAAUUAAUUAUUUGCCAUAUGUUGUAUUUAGAAUUCUUUUUUGCUUUUUUUUUUUUUUAUGUCCUCAUUGUAAUAAUUUUCUUACUUGCUAAAGGAGUCAAUGUUGUUCACAAGAGAUUAAUUAUCUUCCAAUGCAACUUUUUUCGUAGGGUUGGUUUGCUUUUGGUUUUAAAUAUAAAAAGAGUUUGUCAUUCGGUCUGGUAUAGAGUUGAGCCAAAUUUUGAGCAGAAGAGCAAAAUUUUCUACAGAAUGAUUCGCCUCCCAUCUUUUCCUUCAGAUACAAUGGAAGAAUUUGAAGAACAUGCCGAGAUAAACAGCGACCUUAAAGUCAGCUUCGGCUAUCACUGCAACUCCUCCCGAAGUUGUUUCGCUGAAGCUAACUAUGAAUGUGAACUUUCUUCGGGGCUUCAAAUUCAAGAUUCCAAAAUCAAGUCUCGGAGUAGUUCAUUUUCCUGCUUAUCUGGCGCUGCUAUUAGUGCGAAUUUCACAUUAGCAAAUACCAAUAUAUGCAACGGACUAAUUGGGGAGGAAAUUCUACCGGAAUUGGACUCGCCAAAUUCAUUCAGAAAGAUGACGCUUUCGCCCUCUGUCUCGCGAUUGGACCUGCUAUCUUCCUCUCAGGGCAGCGUGUCAACUGAUAAUGAAAACGGUGAAGUUGGUAAACACUUUUGGCAAUCUAUGAGUGCUCCUACUAGGGUAGAAUCCUCAAGUUUUCUCAAGGGCAUGGAUGUACAGAUGGCUGGGGGAGCAGCUGGAGAAGAUCGGGUCCAAGCUGUAUGUUCUGAGGAAAACGGUCUGCUAUUUUGUGGGGUGUACGAUGGGUUCAAUGGCCGAGAUGCAGCCGAUUAUUUGGCCGGAACGCUGUACGAUAAUAUAGGGUAUUAUCUGUAUUUGCUGGAGUGGCGCAUCAAACAACAAAAUGAACUCAGCGGCUCACAUGAAGAAAAUCAUUUUCCGUGCAGCGAUGGCUUAGUCAAGAGCAACUUAUCUUUGGCCAUUAAGAGAUCAGAGACCGAAGAUACACAAAAGAUGCCACUUAAUACUAUAGAUGUCUUGGAUUGCCUUACUCAAGCUCUUGCACAAGCUGAGAGCGAUUUUAUGAGAAUGGUCGAGCAAGAAAUGGAAGACAGGCCUGAUUUAGUUUCUGUUGGGUCCUGUGUGCUGAUUGCUCUUCUUCAUGGGAUGGAUUUGCAUAUUUUGAAUCUCGGAGAUAGCAGAGCAGUUCUGGCUACUUGCAAUGCUUCCGGAAGCGGUUUGUUGCGCGCCAUUCAACUAACAGAGACCCAUAAUGUUGAUAACGAGUUAGAGCAUAAAAAACUCUUGGCGGACCAUCCUGAUGAUACUGCAGUCGUCCUCGGCGGCAAAAUAAAAGGCAAAUUGAAAGUAACUCGUGCAUUUGGGGUUGGAUAUCUGAAAGAGGUAAACAAUUUGCUUUAAAAUUUAGACAUGACGUACUCUCUAUAUUUUGAGUGAACUAAAAAUCUUUUUAAACAGAAAAAAUUCAAUGAUGCACUGAUGGGCAUUCUUCGUGUACGCAACUUGCGUAGCCCGCCGUAUGUCUAUACCAAUCCGCACACCUUAAGCCAUCGGGUGUCAGAGAGCGACUUGUUCGUUGUACUUGGCAGCGAUGGACUCUUUGAUUUCUUCAGCAACGAUGAAGUUGUGAAACUAGCUCAUGAGUUUAUCCAGGGUAAUCCGUGUGGCGAUCCCGCCAAAUAUCUAAUCGAGCAACUUCUUCUUCGAGCGGCGAAAAAUGCAGGUAUCUGUUGGAUACGUAUUAUGCCUUAUAUUCUCAUACUGCAAACUUUUCUUCUACUCACACGCGGAGAGUGAUUUUACAUACAAGUAUGCAACUGUUGACUGCAAUACUGUGGAUUGCAUAAACCAUUUAGCCUUUUCUUUUCAUCUGAAAGUCAGUUUAUAGAGACCCAGGUUCAUGCAUCUUCAUAAUCCUGCUUUCUUUCUGGUCUUUUUCACUGCAAUAAUCUCAUAAAAUUCCGAAAAAUUUCAUGCCAAGCAUUGUAAAACAAGCAAAUUUGUUUAUUACAAGCUAAAAAUCCAUGAUCUAGUUUUGCUUUCAAAGCCGUCUUCUCAUCUUAGGACUUGUACUGCUUUGAAAUGCUUCGAGUUUUGAAAUACGUUCCUUGCUAUCUAUCAACAUCGGAUGUUGUAUCUUUCUCUUCGUGGCCCGAUUUACAGGUUUGAGCGCCGAAGAGCUGACGAGGAUACCAGUCGGGAGGAGGAGGAAGUAUCACGAUGACGUCACCGUCAUUGUGAUCAUCCUGGGAAAUAAGCAGCGAACUUCAAGGGCGUCGACGUCGUAUUAAUCAGCAUCGAAAUCUUUGGAUCUCGCAUUCUAUCCUUCGCCUUUUAAGUUUUGAAGGACCACGCGAGCACAUCAUUUCCACGACAUGUGGUGUAAAUAAUUCGUGUCCGAAACCUCCUAGUGGCGAUGUUUGAGUCCUUUUUUUACCCCUUUUUUUUUUUGGUUGGAUUUAGGUUUUGGUUAUUGGGUAAUGCGACGAUUAGUCGGUUUGUUUUCGAAUAAAUAACAGUAGUGCAUGAUAUACUGUAUGCUAAGCUUCGGUGCUUUUGUAUUCAUGUCCUGCAAAAACCCUGCUCAAAGUUAAAGAAAUUUUGAAGUUGCAGAAGAAAUUGUUGCUUUGGUAGCUGAUUCAGAUCAUCCUUUUCUCUUCAUCUUUUUUUUUCUUUAUUUUUGAGGGGCCAAGUAGAACUAACUCUUUGCAGGCUUUAUUAGAGAAGUAAUUUGUUAUGGUGCAGUUGUUGUUAUCUUGUAUACUGUAAUAAGGCUCAGUAUUUUAUUUUGUUAUGAAAGUGAUGUUUACUUUGUACCUUAUCUAAGAUGGAUAUAAUUAUAAUAAUAAUAUUUGGGAAAAAUGUACAAAGGCCUCCUGAGUUUUGGCUCUUUUGCAAAUAGGUCUUUGAAGUUUUAAUUUUGGUAAAAAAGAAAAAGGUUUAAAUUUAACAGGUAGUUCCAUAUGUUCCUCUCCUCAAUCUAAGUUACUAAUUAUACAGUCGUUUUAGUCCUACGUCAUGUAUAGAACUUUUUAGAACUUUUUAAAACUUUUAAAACGCCGAAAUUUGUUUCUUUAAAUGCAUGAAUAAAACAAUAAGAAUCGAAGCUAGGCUCGUCCUAUUUUCGCAAUUCUCAAGUUUAAUUAUCAAAAAUUUUUUAAAAAAUUAGGGUUUUAUUUUUAUGUACACAUCUUACAAAAAUCAUGUGCAAGACAGGCAAUCAAGACAGCUAUAUAAUCAGUAACUUUGAUUCGGAAGAGGGUCCUACCGAAAUAUUUGAUAAAAUUUGAGGAGUCUAUCUGUCAAAAUUAAAAGUUAUCUUCAAAAAUGCUACAAUUUAGAGGGCUUGUAUAAAUUUUUCAUAAAUUUAUCGUAGAGUAUUACCAAAAUACCCUUCUAAAUUCCAAAUUCCACUAGUAAACCCUAAAAGUUUGGGGAUAUUUGAAGGAAUUUUUAGAAAUUAAGAAGAGCAUUUUGGUCAACCAGAGAUAUGUUAGAUAGUUUCGAAGUUUUAAACUUAUCCCUUAAACUUAUGAUGAAGUUGAUCUGGGAAUGAUUAAUCCGAAAUCAGCUGACGAAAGAGCAUAUGUAACAAACAAAAAAAUAAUAGAAGGGUCAAUUUUAGGCUUAAUUACGUUCUAUUGUACUAUACUUUUUUCCAAAGACACGUUGUAUUAUCAUAUUUUAUCAAUCUUUACGCUACGUUUUAAAUUUCUUUUUUCGUUUCUCUACUUUGUACUUUUUUACCGUAAAUAUUACUAAACUAUUUUAUUCUCGCCAAUGUCUACAUUACUUUUUAACAAAUUUACUAUUUUAGAUAAAAUUUGACAACUCUAUUAAGAGAAACUAGUCAAAUAGUAGGAAAUCGAGAAACUGAAUCUUCAUAGCAGACUUAUUGAAAACUUCUAUCAAAUUAUUUUUAAAUAGUUUUUUUUUAUAUUUUUUUUUAUUUUUGUGUUAAAAUGGGCCGAAUAUAUGUUCUGACGUUUUCAGCCAGUAUGUUUCAACAACUUUUAUAUAAAAUUAUAAAUUUAUUACUUAUGAUAUAGGAAUUGAAAAAAUAAUGCCUUUGAAAAUAAAAAAAUAGUAUAUUGCAGAAAGUGAAAAAUCUAUAAAGAAUGAUGUAGUAUAGUAUAAUUAAGCCUAAAUUUUAUUGUUUAUAUUUUUUAAGGGUAAAUAUAAAAGUCCCAUAUUUUUAAGAGAUUUUUAGGUAAUUAUACCUAGAAAUAUCUAAGAGAGCAUCUAAUCACUGUGGGAUUGAUAGAUUAUGCUGGUGAAAUAUUAUUAUUAUUAUUAUUAUUAUUAUUAUUAUUAUUAUUUAAUCACUUUUGGCAAAGAUAUGCUGGUGGGAAGCCAUGCUAAAUAUUUUUUUUUACCAUUAAUUGCACUGUUGGGCCCUAACCUUUACCUAUUCUUUCAGAUUGAUCCCUAACCUUUCUUUCCUGCUAUUAACUCCCCAUUUUUUUUAUUUUUUUGCACUUUGGUCCCUGCUAUCCAAAUUUUUAUUAAUUUUGAUAGAAUAGUUUCACCUUUAACUUUGAUAUAUAUAUAGUCAUGACUGCAUGACAUAUAGCCUUUGGUUAUUUUAAGUUUUAUAAUAAUUUUUGUGGUAUAUUUGGUUUGGUGCUGAAAUGUCAAAUGCUCCAAAAGAGAUAAUAGAUGCCAUAUGUGAAAUCGAGAUGGUUAUAUGAAUGAAAAACGAUGUUAAGAGUGGCAAGGUUGGGCUUGACGGAAUGAGCAUAUAUACGGGAGAAGAGGUUAGGAAUAAUAGUGAAAAAAUAGGGGCAAAGUUUAGGAACCAAUGGUGCUAUUAAUCCUAAAAGUAAAGAACCUGAUUGCCGAGGACAAAAAAAAAGAUUAAGAACCAAAAUAAAAAACAGGAUAGAUCGGGGACUGCUGAUGUAAUUACUCUUUUAUUUUAGUACUAUGCCAUCCAUACCUAUAAUAAAAUGCAAGAUAUACAUCUUAACCUCUUCCUUACUUAACAGUGUUCUUCUUGUUUUUUCUUUUUCUUUUUAACCAAAAAUCCAAGAGGACUAUGUGAACCACCUUGGAUUGUUGGGUUGUAUGAUGUGCACCAAAUUAUAGAGAUGUACACUUGCAUUUUUCUUUUUAUUCUAAGACAAUAUAUAACACCGUAGUAAUCUCACAUCCCAUAAAGAAAAAAAGUUGUAAUUGAAAAUAUAAAAGACUACUUACUAUAGUAAUAGUAACUAGGAUUAAGUAUUUUGGGCCGGUGGUUUAGAUCCAACGAGUUAUUAUUGCUAGCAGAUUGGGUCGUCACAUUUGGUAUCAAAGUUGGUUCAUUCGCCGGAAUUGUGAGGUGGACCUCACAUUUUCUUACGAUCUUGAACUAUGUGUGUUACAUUUGGUAUCAAAGUUGAUUCACUAGCCGGAAAUGUGGGUGGACCUCACAUCUCCUGAUGAUCUUGAGUUAUAUGUGUGAUUGGGCUGAUCAGGACGUCAAGACACCUAAACGAAGGAGUCAAUGCCACUUUAGUAGUCUCACAUCAAAUGAGAAUGGAGUUGUGAAUAAAAAUAUAAGAAACUAUGAUCCCUAGUAGUAAUAACUGGGUUUAAGUAUUUUGGACCGAUAGUUUAGGCCCAACAAGUUAUUAUUGUUAGCGGAUGGAGUCGUUACAAACUAACCUUUUAGAUAGCAUUCGAAAUAAGAAACCAGCUGCUCUAUACGGUGGUUAUUUGCAACUACGGUUUCGUUUCUUUAUUUGCAUCAUUUUAUUUUACAUGAUUAGACAGGUAAGGAAAGCAUGCAGUAACCUUUGUUUGGGCAAGCUUUUCUGAUAAUACUAAACUCCAAAUGGGGAAUCUAGUGAUCAAUUGGUGAAGAUGCUUGUGGAUGGAUAGAGGAAUAAUGAAACACAAGAGAAUUGGAUUCAAUGCUCCAAUUACACAUAUAUAGGCCAACACUAUCCAAUAUUGUGCUCUUUUCAAGGGCCCAAAACUACUGAUAUUUCAGUGAUAAGGUAUCUGACCACUGGUUGUGACUUGUGAGAGGUGAGUUUAUAAUCAAAAAAAAAAAAAAAAAAAAAAAAAAAAAAACUCAUAUAUAGACCUAAAAUUCCUAAGUAAUAUUAAUAUAAUAGAAUAUAAACUGUCUUUUCUAUAAUACUUUUUUCCACGUUCAAUUGCUCCUACUAGCUGAGAAAUAAAGAAAUAUAUCUUUACAUGCUUUUGUCCCAAAUUUUUUUUGUCCAAAUAACGUUCGGUAGCUUUUGAUACCAAUCAAAUCCCGAAUAAAAAUUAGUCGAAUACUAAGAGUUGCUUGACUACAUAUUGUUGUACAAAUCCAGAUAUGAUAUUUGGAUUGAUCAAUAAUUUAGCUGUAACUGUCAGAGCUGCAUCCAAAUUAGCUGUGAUUUCAAAUGCAAUAAUUAAAAAGAGUAAAUUUAAAUAAGAAAUAAGUUAAAGAUUAAUGAUAUAUAGAUUCAUUUAUGUAGAAUACUUGUCAAAGGGAAACUUAUUGGAGACAACCCCUCCUUAAAUUUUGGUGCCCACAAAUAAUAAAAUAAAUUAAGCAGGACCCAAAAUUAACCUCUUGGCCAUCCAGCUUUCUCCUGUCAUUGCCAUGCAAUUAAUGAAUUUAAAAUUUAUAUAUAAAAGAAAGAACUUGUGCUUAUCCAAAAAGCACCAUUCAAUGUGUGGAUAUAUCACUAGGCCACUCUUGAUGUUGGCAUAUGAUGAUGAUGAUAAUAAUAAUAAUAAUAAUAAUAAUGUGGAGCAGGUCGGGUGUGCUAUUAAAAGCAUGGAGGCCAUCAUGCUGCUAAGCCGCCUUCAAUAAUAGAGCUUUCAAAUUGACGAUCGACUCUGUUAGACUUGAUCUAGCAUAUUUGAAGUAUCUAAAUAAUAAAUUUUAUGAUUUUUCAAUAUCAUUUACUUAGUGAUCAGGUAGUCGUAGACAUUUGAUCAUACUAAUUAAUUUUUGAAUAUUAUGUGCUUCUUAAAUAAAUUUGAAAGGAUAUACUGAAUAAAAUAUUCAUGCAUCGGUUAAGCGUAAUAAAAAUCUGCCACAAUCGUUUUCGAGUGAAGCACUGUAAAAUUUUUUAAAUGGUCAAAACUUUUUCUUCUUCUUUUUGGUAAAAGCGUAUAUAAUUUAUCUGAAUUAUGAAUCAUUUUGAAUCGACUAUUCGAUCUUUUAAAAUUUUGAUUUUACUAUCUAAUCUUUCAAUUUGUUUGAUUUAAAACAGCCAACAGCAAUUUACCUUCAAAACUUGAAUAUGUUGUUUAUGUUUAUCAACUAUAAUCAAUACAAUUCUCGCAACGAUAAAUUUAUCAAAAGAAGUAAUUAAUUUAAAUUUUGAAAUCAAAAUGUCGAUAACUGACUCAAAUCAAACAAGUUAAUUAAAAAGCUUGAUAAUAAAAUCAAAAUUUUGAAGGGCUAAAAAAUAAUCCAUAUUUUAGAUAAAUACAAAACGGAACCUUCUCUCUCUGACUUUUUAUUUUUGUUUUUCAUUUUUUUCUUUUCUUUUCUUUUUUUUUUUUUGUUUUUUGUUUUUGUGUGUUAUUUGGUAGUAUUUGGGGUACAAGGAAACACAAGGCUCUCUCUCUCUCUCAUUGGUGAGUGAGUGGACCCGGAAUUGUCCCUGAAAUUAACAGAGACCCAAUCAAUUAAUGUCCCCCAUAAUCAAUUAUUUAAUGAAUUAAUAAUUAAAUUAUUACACUCACAAACAUUGCCUAUAUAUUGCCUAUAAAUAUGAGGCUAUACUUUUUUAGAGCAGCUUCUUCUCCUGUUUCCUCUUCAACUUGUAAUCUAAACUAUCUUUCUUACUACCAACUAGCUAGUUUAGAAUACAAGAAGCAGGAGAAGAUUAAAAAAAGAAAAAAAAAAAUGGAUAUCUUUAUUCCGGAGGACUACGUCAGGACUCGACGGGAGAUAAAAAGGCAGCAGAGCCAGACGCCAGCACAGCAGAAGCAGAAGCUCCAAAUUCAGAUCUUCCAAGUAGGCUCUCACGAUGGCUCUCCGUUGCCGACGCCGCGCGAUAGCCCGAGCAGCCUAGCUUCGGCGACGGCGGCGGGGGCUGCUUUUGCUUCUGCUGCAGCGAGAUUCCCGAAGGCGAGUGCCGAGGGGCGGGCUUUUUCGACCGAUCAUCUCUUCGACUGCUUCAAGCCUUACUAAAUCAGACUCCCAGAAACUCUUUGGUGUUCUUCUCUUCUGUUUGUUUGAUUAGUCUGUGGGUGGAUCUUUUAUCAUUAGUAUGUGUUUUGCUCUCUCUUAAUGUUGAGCUUCUUAUGUUGCCAAUGAAUGAUCUGGUUGUUUGUCUUAUGGCUCACUCCAGUAGAUCCAUCUGCAAGAUAUGAAUGAAUCUCAAUGAUCGAAACGAGACGACUGAAAUUCAACAAACAGCUCUGUGCGCAGAAAAUUUCUACACACUGAGACCAUCCUACAACACGCGCAAUCAGUAGCAAAAUAUGAAUCUCGACAGUCUGACAGCCCAAAAGCGCCUAAUCGAUGGCAGGAUACGAAACCUCAGCUCAGCAAUCUGAUGGCUGGGAUGAAUCUCGGUCAUCGAAACUUGACGACUGAAAUUCAACAAAUGACUACGUGUGCAAAAAAUUUCUGCACACGCACGCAGAUCAUCCUACCGCCCGCCCAUCAGUUGUGAAUCUCAAGAGCCUGAUGAUGUCUGGAUGAAUCUCAGUCAUCUACAUCAGAUGGCUGCGAUUCAUCUGGCCAGAGUGGGGCGAUGCAAAACUGCUCUACUUUCGGAGUCUGUAAAUUCCCAAACUUAACUACAGCACAAUCACAAAUAAGUACGUAACAAAUCCUAAAAAUGUAAGCAAAUCAAAUGAUUUGUGAUCCAAUUCGUAAAAAUAAGAAGAAUGGUCCAAGAAUUUACUUUUUUUAGGGUCCAAAACAUACUGGAGGAAACAGAAAAUCUAAACGACAGAAUUUAAAUACCCGUUAGUUCAUUCCGAACAUCAGACGGAAUUUAAAUACCCGUUAGCUCAUUCCGAACAUCAGAGUUCAACUCGAGUCAGAUUCACUUAAAUUAAUUGAAUCAUAACCCGAUUCGAGUCCAUCAUGAUUUGGUAGCAACCGCAGUGUUAAAAACGCACGAACGGCAUGAACUUCAGAAACCAUAUGCGGGCAAGUGCUUCAAAAUGCACGACGAGGCAAAAUGUCGAAUAGCUAAUGAGAAUUUUACAACUACAAACAGUUGAAUAUAAACUUCGAUGCAACAAAUAAAAUUGCCUUUCUAAUUUGGCCAGAAAUUUUCAUGUUCAACUCAGCACAACUUAGCAACCACAGAAGAGCCUUUGAAGUCCCUAUUUCGUUUACGGAUACAAGUAUUUCGCUCUAGUACUAUUCUCAAAAGAAAGAGUAUUACAAACAUAGCAGACGGGGAAGUGACAGAUAUCUCAGACCAACAUUGUGCAGAUGGGAAAGUUACUGAUAACUCAGUAGUCGUCGCCUCGGGAAAUUACUUCUUUACAAGUAGGUCGAAGUAAGAUAGUGUGCUCGAACUGCGACACAUAGCUUCCUUUUACAUCGCACAGAGGAGGGUACGGCUGCGAAUGGAGAGCAACAUCGUAAGCGUACCAUUAUUUGUAUCAGCAAAUGGAAAGAAAAUCUAAUAAAAACUAGAAUAGAUGAAUCUUUUAAAAUGAUCGUGAUAAGAAAGCUCAAGAUGCAUAAGUGUCUGCGACUGACAGCACAUAUCGAAGUGAAAAUGAGAGACAGAAAGCACCUAAGUUUCAUCUGUUUUUUGAUGAUACAAAAUUCAUUCGAGUAAUAGAAUUGCAGGAACAUAAAAAUGGUAACACAGCAGCUUCGCUAUAUAAGGAGAAGGGCAUAAUCAAGCUCUAGGAGUCGGCAAAUACGCUGUGUGAUCUUUAAAAGCUGCAAACAGAAGCAUAUGGUUUUGCUUCCAAUUACUGGGGCAAACAACAGGAAGAUUUUUUGGACAAAACUUCAAACCCAACAUAUAUCAAUGUCAAUAGGAAAAUUAUCUAGCAAAUUUUUAUCUGUGUUAUCCUCUCUGUUGACUUGUAUCAUGGCACUUGUCCAUGCACAUUUGACAACAACAUCAAUGACUUGCGAUAGACUCUUCCAUGUACACUACACAUGAUUUUACUAAAUCUUUGUUUUCUUUUUUUUUUAAACUCAUACUUGGGUAGCAUGCUCAAGUGAGAAGGGACAAAUUUUAAUAACUAAACGUGAUUAUAGAAUACAUUACCAACAAUAGGCAGUCAGAUUACUUUUAAAAAUAGAAGUAUUUUAUAUGAGAAAUAAGCUUGCAACUAUACCUAAAAAUGGAUCGAGCUUGCAUUUUCCUAGCAAUACCCAAAUUAUAUUAUGGCCAAAAUUAUGUAAUGAGAGAGAAUAAAUCGCAGAUCAACAAUUAUGUUCUGCUGCUUUGCUGCUUUACUAAACAUUAGUAAGAGUGUAAGACCAUAUCCACUACUACAAAAGCACAUCACUCCCAUGAUUAAUUGGAAAACAGCCAUGAAAUGGUUUUGGUAGGAAAGCCCAAAAUCUAUGUAGAUUCCAAGUUGAGCCAUUGUAUGUACCUGAACAAUACCAGCAUCACAUAGGUUUUUGAGUGCCAUAAGAUACUUGGUCUCUCCAAUACGGUCCAAGUAACGACGGCAAAAGGCCAAAGUUGAAAAGUGCUUGUUGAUUGUUGUAAGAAGUUGCUUUGCCCUCGGCAAUCUUAGCGGUAUGUGUCCAACAUCAAAGUUCUUCAUGUAAUGGCUGCAUUCCAAGUCCUCCCUAACUAGUCCUUUUCCUGCAAAUUUGCGAGUAAUUUAGGAACAAUGUCUUUUCGUGUAUUAUUUACAAAUCAUUUAGGUUAACAGUUUAAACGUUUGCAUUUCUUCAUAUUAAUUUGCCACAAACUUAAAUUAAAUCUUGAAUCUCUAUCCUCAGAAUAAGAGGUAGUUUUAAUGCCUAGAAUCAUAUCUAUGACAGGAUUAUAAUCUAUGAUGGAAUUUCUUGUCCAAACAAAUUAAAUGGUGCAUUAUGUGUAACCAAGUGCAAGCACUACAGAAGUACGUUGUAAUGUUUAUACUAGCAGAACAACUAUCACUUUGCAGCAAAGGUAUAUGUUGGUUACCUGUAGAUCCAAAAGUUUCAAUCGCAUAAAAUUCUCCUUCCUCCAUUUUUGUUUGCUCCCCACCUUUUACAAUUGGAACAGAUUUUCCAGCAUGUAUUUGAUAUGGUCCAAUACUGUGUCCGUUCAGGUUUCUCACACUUUUAACUGCAAACAAAAACAUACAGACACACAAGCAAAUAGUGUAUAAAUUAGAAAAUUUAUUUACGAAUGUAAAAAUCCUAAUUUUGGGCAUUCACUUUAAACUUGCACGAGCUCUGACUCUCAAGGCUGUGCGUAGAAAAGGAUGAGUUAUCUAAAAGAAACUCACGGGAUCUCAGACAAACACUUCGUGAGAAAAAAUUUAAGCCUAGAUGUUUCUCUAGGAGCUUCUAUUAUAUCCUUCAAUUAGUUAGAUGUUUUCGUGUACCCAUUUAUCUCGUAAAAAAUAGUCUGGCAACAGUGAUGCAGUUCAAACCUCAACAGUCCAAUUUGUGUCGGAUUUGAUCCAAUUUUAUUUAAAAUUCUAAUUUUAUUCACUUUUAUUUGACUGCUAGAAUAAGAUCAGAAUCUUUAAGUUCAGUUGUAAUUUGUUAUUUUUAAAUUUUUAUUUGAAUAACAUCAAAUUUGGACAUCAGAGGAGUUGAUUACGUUAUUGGUCUUUAAAUAAGCCCUAAAGGGCCUCUUGUAAGCAUAUAAUAGAUCACUAAAAAUAUUGUGAUAGGUUAAACGGUUCUGAACCCUCCCUUUCCACUAUUGCUCGGCUCUGAACCCUGCCUUUCCACUAUUGCUCGGCUAGAACAGCUAUGCCAUAUUCCUCCACAGAUUAUUCUCCCACUAUCUCUCCCCUUCUAUUUCUCUCUGUCUCUCUCCAUCUUGUCUAUUUCUCUGAACCCUGCCUUUCCACUAUUGCUCGGCUAGAACAGCUAUGCCAUAUUCCUCCACAGAUUAUUCUCCCACUAUCUCUCCCCUUUUAUUUCUCUCUGUCUCUCUCCAUCUUUCAUCUCAGCAAAGAGUCAGACAACACCCAUUUGCAAGACCCGCUUGCAAUUACAGUUGAGUUGCUGCCAAACCCGACCAAGCUCCUUGAACUGGCACCACCCUCACCCCUCUGCAGCAGUCCCCGCCAACCACAUCUCCACUGCCGGCUGCCUGCAAAGCUGCACCGUCAUCGACUAUUUCCUUGCUGUCAUCUUGCCAGGAACCUGGCACUGCAGCUGCUGUAAUUCACGAUGUCCACUGCGUCGGUCGGUCAAGUCCAACAUCCCCAUCACAUAAAACCCUCUCAACUGUUACUUUUACUGAGGGCCCACUAUUUAAUAUGCCAAGUACCCAUUUCUCCUGUCCCAUUCACUGAUUUCAUGCCCCAAGCACCUAACAUAGAUAACUUAUGGACCUCAGACAUUUUGUGCCACCCAUGGCCCAUCAAAAAGUUUAGAUCAGCCUUUGCACCUUCACAGAAAGGUCCCCAGUCCCGCACGUCCAUUCAGAGGACACCACUGUAACAGUGUAAAAUUAAGGCUGCAUUAGAUAUUGGCCCAUGUAUGUAUACCGCCAACGUCUAUCUUUGCUAGCUCACCAAACUGUCCAUGGUUGUAAUCUUUACUCCAGUAAAAUUCUUUUUAAGUCUCUUAUCCACUUGAGCUUACCGACUAUCUCCCAUGUUUUAAGUGUAAGGUUUGAUUGCCUCACUUCAGCUAGCAAAAGUAUUUAAGCUGGCUCAGCUACGCAAAGGAAACAGAAUAUGCACAAGAGAGAGCAAGUAAAAACAUCGAGACCCAAGGCCAGACAAUCUACCUCAAAUCAAUUUGAAAGUCUGAUAUUAUACCAAUUAGAAUGUCUUCCACAUGAGGUGAAAAGGGAAAAAAGAGUAUUGCAGGGUCAAAUAAGUACGAAAAAAAAAAUGUUUCAGCAUCCAAGAAAUAAAUGAAAUGUUAUCUGCAAAAACAAAAUCAUUAUAAAUCAGCAAGCAUUUAGUCACACCUUGGAACACCUUCCCAUUGAUUUCAACCUCAUAUGAUUCCAUGACUUCUUGAAUUGCAGCGCCAACAUCGCAAAGUCGUGCAUCUAUCCCCGCUUCCUAGAUAAGAGGACAACAUUUCGACAUUAUGAAAGUCGGACAUUGUUUACAAUCAGAAGUGAUAUUCCACAUGAAAAGGCAUUGUUCUUUCUUCACACCUACAUAGAUAUUUAUAUUCACGAUAGAACCAUCAUUGAACAUUUUCACCAGUGUUUCACUAUGCCUAGUACAUCAUUGAUGAUCUAUCCUCUUUAGAGAUUGCAACAUCUGAUAAUCAUCAAUCUAUAAAGAUGAAAUAGACAAACUGAAACUCCAGAAACAUAAUUAGUUAACAAGGCAAACAACUUAUCUAUAAACUAUAAUGAUGAAACUAAUGGACUAUGGAACCAUCUCCAUUCUGGUGCUUGGCUCCUAUAGAUCAAUGCGCUAUGAAGGAAUGCACAAGCAGUAGAAAUUGACUGACAAAGAUUCAGCAAUUCGAUCAACAUGUUGGUAGAUGAUUGCUUCCUAAUUGUUGCUAAUCAGUGAACCUGGCACUUAAGACACAAAUGAACUGGGGAUAGACAGGCAGAAACACACUAUAUACUCCUUGAUUAUUUAGGCCUUCCAAUGUGUAAAUGCGCAUGAAGCUAAUAAGCUAGUGAAAAAGAAUCACAAGCUCUAUUCUGCUUGCCUGGCCAUCCACCGACCCAUGCCACCCCAAACCCUCGAGCCUAAAAAAGGAGGGGAAAAAAAGGACACAAAUCUCUGCAGUAGUUCCAUACCUUCAGGCUUCAGUUGCUAAUAGGUUGAAUUGUGAUACCAGAAUGAGGUAAAGAGUAAUUCAAAGGGAAGAUAAAGACCAUAGGUUACACUGAAGCAGACAAAAAGAUAAGCAAAAUUCUACAUUCUCUUUGUAAGGAAAGAAAACACUUACCAAAGAUAUUUUCUCGGGGAAAAAAAAAGAAAAUACUCAAAAAAAAGACCAGUAAAAAUUCCUAAAGCAUGUCAAACAGACCAAAGAACAUUAUGUAAAACAUUACCUUAACCCCGGUAUUUGUAGCUUCUCUUGAAGCCUCAAGCAACGGAUUGAACAUGGGAUUAAAAGCCACUGUAAAUGCACAAUCAACAAUAUGUCCUGAAAACACAAAAAACUAUUCAAGUUGGAAAACUUCGAGAACCUGUUGUCCAAAAGGUUUUCAGGGGAAUAUUGCCCAGGAAAACUGCAAGCGUAAAUAUUCAAAAGAAAAAAGCAGGAAAUAAUACAGCUAACAGCUAAGCCUACCAUCUAUGUGUGUUCCAAAAUCCAACUUCAUCACAUCAUCAUACUGAAGGACAGUUUUAUCACCGGAAUUGGGAGUCCAAUGAGCUGCAACCCUAUAAGCAAGCCAUAGUCAAGCCAAGUCCAAGGAACAUAAGAACAGAGAAAAGUAUUUCACAGCAACAGUACCAAUUUAGGGAGCAUCCUGUCGGAAAAGCAAUGCCCGCUUGAAGCCCAUUCUCUUUGAUAAGUUUCCUUACCAUAUUUUCCAAGGUCUCACACAGGUCAAUCAUUAAAAUUCCAGGCUUCAAAAUACUCCUGAUAUAUUUCCGAACCUAACAAUCAAUAACAAUGUACCAUCAUUGUUGUGAGGUGAAAUAAUAUGUAAAAUGGAUUGCAAGGCAUUUGACUAAUCGAACAUGUUUAGUAAUUCUAACCUGUCGAUGAACUUCAGCUGCUCGCCGAACUACAUUGUACAUAGGCUUCUCUAGCCGUUCUAAUUCCCUCUUUUCCUCCGAGGUUGUUCUCCAUAGAUUACUGUGAAAAUAGUCUAAAGUAAUUAUGCGCUCCAGCAAAUCAAACAUUACCCAUUUGCAGUUCAACAAAGGUUGUCUGACAAUAGCUCAGUUAAAGAAUCAGCAACUCCUUGUUACAGCAAAUAUUGAAAUUAUGAAAGAACAAUCAGUAGGCAGUCAUGGGAAAACUACAUAAAUCAGAUAACAUUUUAAGCAACUCUUCCAGCGGAUAUUUCAAGAAAUAACGUCUGCAAAAAGAAUCCUGCAAAAUGACUCGGAUGGGAAGUAAAAAACCAAGAUAUACUAUAUGAGGCCUAUUGUAUCCUAAAAUAUCCGAAAGAAAGUACCAGAAAACCAUUAUUGACUAUAAUGACAAUAGGUUCAAAAAGAAAGACUAGCAUUGGAUGAACAAGCCAAAACAAAAUUGACAAUAAUAAAAGAAGCAUCUGCGCUGAAUAUUUGUUACAUUAUUUAUCAACAAACUUGAUGCUGCUUGUCUGAGACAGCUUUGACGCUGAAGCUAGUUAACUCCUUUUUCUUGGAUGUGACUAGAAACCAAUAUCUUUCCAACUAACACAACAAUACAGCUGAAAAGAAAUUUCUACAAUUUAGUAAAUAAUCCAAGCUAAUGAUUGUGUUUUCAUGACAACUCUCAUACAUACAGAUACUACAUAACAAUGAUAAAAGGUGAUUAAGUGCCAAUCUCAGUUCUAGUAAGCUUUCAAACUACAAUUUAAAUACUCUCCAAUGGAUCAAAUUUGGCAUUAAUAUUGGGCAACCUACUAAAAAUUCGUAGUUUUACUAGUUUCCACUAAAGUCCUAAAAAGUAACUAUCAGAAAAUCAAAACCAUAAAUAACUACAAACUGAAUAAUUGUUAAAAAAAUCACAGAACACAGAUAACUGCAAACUCAUUUUAGGAGACUAUAAGCUAAUAUGCACCUACCCAGCAACAUUUGGCGUUAAAUUCGAAAGUUCUCCUUUUAAUUAAUAAACUACCACAAGGUUUAAAUGUACUUAUGAGUGUUCAAUUAACUCAAAGAAGAGAUCCAGUUCUUCAAAAAUGAAAAACACUAAAGAGUGAGCAAGGAGCGAAUUUGUAUUCAUGUUGGGCAAAGUAAGAUAUAAGAUGCUGAUUUUCUAACUCACAAAAGACCAAAGCAUAAAAAAGUAAUCCGAUCGCUUAUUGAUAACACUGACAACUAAAAUAUAGAAUUAUAUGCUUACUCAUCCUUGUACUGCUGGAUUUCGCCCUCAGGAAAUUCUCCGGAAGGAAAGAGUUCAUCAACAGGAAUAGAUGGUGGGUCGGUCUGCUGAAGAGGCUCUUUCUUUUUCCUACAGAUGACAAAUAACAAACAAUAAUAGAUACCAAAGCAAUAUAAAAUUCAAAAUUCUCAUGGCUUAUAGAACAGAAGCACUUACUUGGAUCUACUCUUCUUCUUCUUCUUCUUCGAUGUUUCUGGUUCCAAGAUCGAUUAAGCAGUAAGUAUUUCGAAAUGUUUGCCAUAUCAGCUUUUUUUACUAAGUCAGAAGAUAACCUCAAAAUGAUAUAAUGCCAGCAAGAAGAUAUUGUUUGGCAUAACAGAUACAUAAACAGCUAAAGACUUUGAAAUUACAGAUAAACAAACAGCUAAAGACUUCAAACUUCAAGCAAAUGCACCAUUUCAUAGCUAAUGCUCUGCAGGGUGAAAUAAAAGAGUUUGCUCUAGAAGGGAUGCAGAUGAUUUUUCAGGCAUCCAGCUCAAGUCAUUUCAUAAUAGAUCAGGUAAAUUAUACUUUCCAUGACAUACAUUUUUAGCCAACCAAAAUCCUGUUUAACACUUUAAUUCACCCAUAUUUGUAUUUCUAUUAAACAUAUUUAUUAAACUGACCAUCUUUCAGUUAUAUAGUAAGCACAUGCUUAUCAGCAUAUUAUUCUUCAUCAGGGAUCAAGCAAGUGACGUAAAUUUGGCUUUUCAUUCCACUUCCUUCUUCUGUUUAUUCCAUUUAAAUAUUCAUAUUAAAUGCAAGAAAUGAAGCUACGGAUUGACAAACAACAACCUUGUUACAAGGUCUUAGCGACGAACUAGCCCUUCUAAUGACAGGACUAAAACCAUGGGCUUGCUGGGUAGUCUGGAGUUUCUGCAGAAAUGUAGUCUCCAUAGAGCAGUUUGCAGAAGCAAUAGCAUUUCUCAUUAAAAUCCCUCCAAUGACUCUUCAUUGAAGUUUUAAGAAGCUUUAAACUGAUCACCUAUUAGCCCCAGAAGCUUAUUUAGUUUUCUACUUCAGCCAAAAGCUCUAAACAUUUUAUUUUCCAAAACCAUUGGUUAUACUUCUCGAUAAAAGCACUUACUGAAAGCUGGGUGAAACAAUCUACAAGUAUUUCUAGACUAGCUCUGGCAAUAACCUCACGCACUAGGCUGACCCUUUUCAUACGACUGCUCUUAACCAAUAACUGACAAAGCAUCACAGCUGGUAGUAGAAUAGCUAAACAAUCAAAAAGAUGCAAUACUCAGUACAACAUCGGUAUCACCAAUAACUACGUUAAUGAUUAGUGGGGAGAGUUAAACUGUGUUAAAUAGACAUCACACAUCUCACACUGCUUCAAUCAUGAUAAAUUAUUGUCUCGGCUAAACUAAUCACACUAUCUGCAUCACGUAUAGUCCGUCAUGUGCCCCUGAAUAGGGGUCCUUUGAGUCUUAAAAAUCUUUUCUCAACCACCAAAGUUAGCAUUCUCAACUACCAAAUGUUGUUUGCCUCACCCAAUCCACAAAACCAGGUCCAGCUGAGCCAUAGAAUCUCUCAUUGUCAUGUGUUAGCAUUUAAACUACACUAUCAAACUUUGAAGGAAGAAAAUAAGUUCAAUUUUCGACUUAUAACUAUGUCAACAAAAAAAAUUACAAGAAGAUUCUUAUUUGUUUUGCUCUUUCCUCCACCAAUAAUACGGUAACCGGCAUUAGUAGAAUUACAAUGCUCGGGUCAAUUCCUAGAUUUCUUGUCCCAAUCCCACAUUAUUCAAUCACAAUCUCAAGAACAGUAUGAAUAAAUUAUGCCCCAAAAUGGCCUACCAAACGUUAAAGAAUGACCAAAUAUUCCACAUAGCAAAGUAAAGUGAAAACAGCUCAGAAGAGACUACAGAAACAAUAGGAUAAUUCAAAACAUGUUAGCCGUUAAAAUAAGAUUAUAAGGCCAACAAGCUGCCAAUCCAUUGAUUGGAAACACAAAGUAAAACAGCCAGGCAAGGUUAAAAUAUGCAAUUAUGAACCACCUGAUGUUCCAUCUUGAGCAGGACCAUCUCCUUGCUGGUCAUCUUCGUCGUCCGGCACAGAGGAUUCGGAUGCACAAGCCUUACCAUUGCUCUCUACAAGCUUUGAACCUUUAUUUUCUUCUGGCUCAGCUGAUCGUACUUCAGCCACGUUAUUUAAACUCUCCUGCAUGCAAAAGAAAUGUUAUAAGCAUGCAAAAUGAUACUGAAAUAGUUAUUGAAAGCAGAAAAGUUAAUAAAUUUGCAAAUGUUACUAACAUCAGUUGUUUGCUUUGGACCAAUAUGUAAUCCUUCCACGCCUUCAACUACUUCAGCCUUACUUCCACCCAUCUCCUCUCCCUUAUCGCGGACAACUUUCUUUAUCCCAACCUGAAUUUAGAACAUGCAAAGAAAUUUAAAAUUCUGCUUGUAAAGCUAGACAGUAGAUAGAUACUUCCCUGAGGAGAAGAUUCUGAACUCGAUUCCUUUGGAUGUAACAUUAAAUAGUGUAAAGAAUAACCACUAAAAGUUUGAUCGAUGAUGAUGAUCCAAGUUCCUUGGAAACAUCUAGAAUAUUCUGAGGAGAAGUAAACCUAUUUAGCAGGACAUAAAACCAUGGUGGGAUUAAACCUACUUGUCAUUUUCCGCAUACACUUAUUUACCAGGACAGAGUAAACCUAUUUAGAAGAAUAAAAGAACAUGGUGGGGUUAAGCAUACUUGUCAUUUUCCACAUACACUUAUAUACCAGGACAAAGCCAUGAUUAAGACCCUAAGGUAAACUUUUGUCGAAAAACACAUGAUGAUAUAUAGAUUUCUAUUACUAGAUUUCAAAAAAUUUAUCACCAAUAAAAGAACAAGUACAUUUAACUCUUGCUGUAAUAGCUUAUGAGCAAAGUUGAGAUUUUGUUUUCUUGAAAAAAAAAAGAAGAAAAGAUAAAGCGCUUAUACGUAGUAUAGAUAGUUGUAGAGAUUGAUUGCCCCAACUCCCAAGAUGAAAUAACAGUUCAGUAAUUCUUUAUCGGAUAUAUCUGAAGAGAUAACAAUCCAGCAAUACUCUGAUUAACUCCCCCAACUUGCCUCUUGCUUUGAAAAUCGACUUUAGGGUAGAGCAAAUGAGCUGAAUACAUAAAAAACUGUUUGCAUGUCAGAACAAAUUAUCAAGCGACAACUUGUGAGCUACAACAAUUUUCUUUCUUGCGAUCGCAAUCUAAGAAUUUGCUUUUCGUCCUUGCAAGAUCCGGGCAGUCAUGCUUUACUAGCAUAACGCAUUUCACGUAAGAAGUAAUUUAUCUUACUCGGUGAAAAUUGCUUAACACAUCUAAUCAUACUCUCCAUCUACCAAUUACUGCAUGCUCCUUGAGCUAACAAAAAGCACCUUUGGGGAUCCAAACAGGCCAUUCUCUAUUGGGACGCAUUAACACGCCAACAAGAGCAUAUAAUUGCAACAAUAACCAUAAUUUAAAAGCAAAAAAAGCCUUAAUAGAAGGAACUUGACACGCAAAUUUCUCGUUUCCUACAAUCCAAAACAAAAACAACCAAAAUCCAAGAUGAUGAUCCACUACACCGCAAUUAUGAUACAACAAAAGCAUUGCCAAAUCGCAAAAUUGAGGUGCGGGAACAAGUCGAGUUGAAACCAAACUGCAGAACCAGCUAGGGUUUUGCCAAGAGGGGGAGAGAGAGAGAGAGAGAAGGGAUCGUAUUAACGAGGUUUGCGAUAUCGGGAUCCUACGCCAUGAUCAAAAGCUAGGGUUUUGGGAGAGGAGAUCGAGGAGGAGAAGAGAAUCGUCGCAUACCCGAGAGAGAUGAUAACAGGGUCGGCGAAUUCGCGAAGUGAGAGAGAAAGAGGGAGAAGGGCUUAUUACUACUACGGGUUAAUUGUACUAUUGGUCCCUAAUCUUUACUACGUUUUUACUUUGGUGCUUAAUCUUUGUUUUUUUUUGCUACUUAGGCCCCUAACCUAUAUAUUUUUUUGCAGUUAGGUCCUAAUUAUUUAAAAUUUUAUUUAUUUAGACAAAAUAAGCCACUCUCACUGCAUCAGCCACAUUAAAACUCUGCUUACAAAUUUAGAUCAUGAUCAUGAUCCAGCUUCUCAUGGUCAAUCUGGACAUCGACUUUUUUAAAUUUCUGAAAGUUUAAUGGUGCGUCUGAUUCAAUGCCGAGAGUGUCAAAUGACUCAAAAGCGGUGCUAGGCGUCAUGUGUGAGGUUUGAAAUAAUUAUAAGCAUGGAGGAUAGUAUUGAGGAUGAUGAAAUUGGGUUUCAUCUGAAGUGCGAGCACAUGGGAGAAAACGUUAAAGAUAAAAGUGAAAAAAAAAAAAGGUAAAGAUGAAGGAUUUGAUUGUCAAAAAUAAAAGAACAAUACUACCGAUACAAUUCAAAAUGAAAUGUAUUAUUUACACCUACUCCAUUCAAGACUAUUAAUACUCUACUUGUCACAUCAAUUUUUUUUAAUUUUUAUUAAAAUUUAUUUAAAUUUUUAUCAACCUUGUGAUGGAGGGUGUAAAAUGUACACCCCUUUUUCGGUGUACACAAAAUAUUUUUUUCCUUUCUUAUUUUGGUCUCUAACUUUUUAUUUUAGAAAAGCUUUUUGUAUACUUUAAAAGAAAUAUAAAUCUUAUACCCUAUUCUAGAAUUAAUAAAAAUUCAAAUAAUUUUUAGUAAAAAUAAAAAAAAAUUGAUGUGACAAGUAGAGUGUUUUAUAGCCUUGAGAUGAAAUGGGUGUAAGAUAUAUAUUGCUCAACAAAAAAAAAAAAAUCAAGUGAAGACCAGGGACCAAUGGUGCAGUUAAACCUCACUAUUAAUAGGGUAAACUUUAAAUACCAUUCCUGUAAUUUUGCAUUUUCUCACUUUGGUACCUUGUGGUUUAAAGUGUAUUGACUUAGUACCUUGUGAUUUCAUUUUUCUUUUUUCAUCGGCCCUUCCGUUAACUUUUCGUCAAAUCAUAUACAAAAAACUUCGGAUAUACCCCACCUAUAGUUUAUCGAAUAUUUAAUUUUAACUUUAUUACUAAUUUUACGAAAAAAUUAAUAAAAGGAAUAAUAAAAAGAGAAAAACAAAAUCACAGAAUACAAAAGUGAUGCAUUUUAAACCACGGAGUAUUAAAGUGAGAAAGUGCAAAACCGCAUGGGUGGUAAUAUGUAGGCGUGU
rnacentral:lncRNA from 1 species